UCUGCUGCCCUGAUGUACGAUAUGGCUUUAAUUUAAUGGAAUCUGCAGGAUAGGUUAGCCGAUCUUGAAGUAGAAGUCGACUCUAUGAAUCUUCACGUUAAGAGAUGCAAAGGAGUCUUGAAAUUGUCUGGCGCUCUCCUGGUGGAUUGCAGAGAAAAUUAUCUUCACUUAGAAAUCUAAGUUUCGGCUGUAAUCUUCAAAGGGCAAUCCCCUUCUCAAUAUAGUUUAAAUUGCAACGGCCAUUUCAAUUCAAUUGGUGCAAAGAUGCUCUGUUCUAUUUUUAUCUUAUUUUAUUCCGUUUUUCAUUUCUCUACUAUGAUUUUUUUUUUUUCUUAUUGUUUUCGUAUGACUGAGCUGCUUAAUUAAUUUAUUUUUGCCACCAUACGUUUCCAAGGAAAAAUAAAAUCGUAUGACUGACAAAAAUUUUAGGAAGAAACCGAAAGAACAAAGCCCAAAAUUGAAUCGGACGAAGUUUCCCUUGAAGUUUCCCAAAAUUUAAGCGGAUCCUUAAAUUAAUAGGCUUUUCAUGCAGAGAAAUUUUUUUUAAUACUUGCACCUAAUUAGCAAUGGGUAAAAUUAUUUCAACUUAAAAUUUUGAGACAUUAUUUUUCACACCACUAGAUUUAUUGAAACUAAUAGCACAAAAUUUAUAUCAAAGUGUUAUAAUUGAUAUGUACUUCAAAAUGACCCUUUCGAAUUCCUCCCCCACCAAUGCAAUGACAAAAGGUACCAACUUUUGCUGUAAAAAGUGUUGAUAAAAAAUUUUCCCCAAAACCUCUCUCUCUUUUUAUCUCCUUUGUUUUUUUCCUCACGAAUUUGCAAAUUGAGCCAGCUUAAUUUGUGAAGGAAUCUAGGGCUGUCCCCUCUUACCAAUACAAGUCCAACCAGAAACAAUCAAACACUCCAAAAAGGGGCUCCCUCGUGUCCACAAUUUUUAGGUCCAUACAUCGGGUUUUUGAUUGGAUACGUGUCUUUUAAGUUGUCAAGUGUAAGGCAAUUCUUGUAUUGAAUUUGGACCACGUCCUUUUACUUUUUAUCACAACCCCAUAAAAAAUCUAUUCUACAUUGGCAAACCCUAACAUACAUUUUUCUGGUCACGCCGUCGCCUUGGCUUUGUCCGUCAAGGCUGCCACUUCCAUUUCCGACCAUCCAUAGCCACUAGUAACCGCCAAAUCGCCGCCGAUCAGCCGGAUCUGUGGAAGUUAAAAAGUUUCUAAAAUUUUUUAACCGGAUUUGAACAACAUACGACCCCUUUUUUUAUCUCGAUGACGGCGUAGUAAUGUUGAUGGUUGAUCGGCAAGUCGAAUGGCAGUGGCGGUGAGUAACACGCGCCAGUGACACCGGCGGCGGCGGUCGCACGAUCCGGCGACUGUUAAAAUUAAUAUUUAUAUUUUCAGAUUAAAUAAAUUUAUUUUAUUAAGCUUUUUAAAUCAUUAUUUAAAUUUAAUUAAUUUAAAAUUAUCUAUAAUGUUGAAUUGAUAAAAUAAAUUUAUAAAUAAUAAUUAUGUGAUUAUAUUAAAUAAGUUAAAAGUUGAAGGGGUAUUUGUGGAAGAUUUAGUUUUCAGCACACAGGGAAUUUGAAUUCUUUACUUCUUAGUGUAGAAUUUAAAUUAUAUAUUGUAAUGGAUAUUAAAUUUCAAUAAAAAUUAAAUUCUUAUAAAUUAUGUUAAACCAAACAACGGAAAUAAAAAAGAAAUUCAAAUUAUUUUCCUCUCCUCUACCCUCUCCUUCCAACCAAACACAACCUAAGAUGAUGUUUGGUUUGAAGAAAUGUUAGAGAAAUCCUUCUAUAUUUAUCUUUUUUGUGGAAGCCCACGAGUACUGUCAUUAGAUUGAAUUAAAACCAUACUAACUGUGAUGAACAACAAAUGUAUGUUAUUCAUCUUAUUUAAUUGAUUCUUUUUAUUGUUUAUAUUGACUUCAUAAUUAUAUUACAUUUGGUAUGUCACAACAUAAUAUGUUCAUCAUAAUUGAUCUAGAUAUUAUAAUAAUUAGAAAAAUGAUAUUUGAAUGAUAGAAAAUAAUAUUUUUUCUUUUUUUAGUAUCGAUGAUCAGGUUGAUUCUAUGUUGUAAUUAAAAAUAUUUAGGUUAAAUAUUGUAUUCCAUUGAAAUAUUUACAUAUGGCGGCCUCGUAAGACCUUCCAACAAACAAACUCACAUAAUACUUAUUUUUUAUCAUAAUUUUAUAAUUAUUGUUGCGAUGAAUAGGCUAAUUUCAAACUAAUUAAUCAUACGAUCAUAUUAUACUUAUAUGAUUAAGAGGUAAAAUUUAUGUUCUAUUUAUGUGUUAUACUGAAGUAAUCCUUAAAUAAUUUGUAAAUAUGUCUAAAUAAAAUAAUAAAUAAAUAAUCAAUUUCUAUAUAUCUCGAUUUGUGUAAUGGUAGUCAUAUGUUUCAAUAUGUACACUCUAAGAUGUGUUUAUAGAAAUAUCAUUGUAAUUGUUUGUAUUGCCUCAGUUGCCUCGUGCUUUUGUCAUAACAAAUGUAUUUUACUUAUUUAUUUAUCCUUGGAAAAUGAUAACUAUUGUAUAAAACUUAAUUAAUUAGCAUUUUUCUUAAGCUUUUUUGAAGGAUUUUUAAAAGUUAAAUAAUAUGAUGUUGUAACUUUUAAAAUAAUUGUUAUUAGUUAUACAAAAGAAAUAAUUAGCUGUGAAAAUAAUGAAUUAAACGUUUAGUAAAAUUUAUUUUAAAAAGUAUUGUGAUUUACUUAUGUGUUUAGAAAAUCUUAAAAUUGAAUUAUUUUAAGAAUGUAAAUAAUUAAAUUGAACAUAAUAUUAAAUAAAGUUUAUUUACACAUUUAUAAAUAUGUAGCUAAAAAUAUUUUUUAUUGUGUAUAUAUAAUAAUAAUUAACUAAAAUAAAUAUUUAUAUUACUAAUUUUAUUUUAUUAUCUCAAUAUAAUUGGUAAUAAUAAUAAUUUCUUUAAAUUUAAUGAUUUUAUUUUUUAUAAAUAAAUAAUUUUAGAUUUUUACAGUAAAUAUACAUGAAAUUAUAUAAAAUAAAAAAUUAAUUCUCAAAAUCAAAUUUUAAAAAGUUAUUCUUUUCUUAUUUUUUAAAAUUUAAUUAUAAGAGAUAAAUUUGUCAAAUAUAAUUUUAUCAAAAAUAAUUUUUUAAAAAUUUUUAAAUCAUAAAAUUAAUUUUUAAUUUUUCAAAAUUAUUUACAGCGUCCAAACGCACUUCCAAGCAUGGACCCUUAGUAUUAUUUCGAUACAAAUAAGAGAUAAUAUAAUGAGGAUCCCUAUCUUACAUGCACGUAAGAUAGGGAUUGCCAUAUAAUGAAAGAGAAAAUACGGAAUCACAUGUCUUAAUAUAAUAAUGCCACGUGAUUAUAGUUCGCCGGUUAAUCACAGCCUUGAAUCAUACAGGGGUCCCACCGUAGGUCAAAUCACCGGCUUGAUAUUGCAAAAUCCAAACAACUAAAGUACUAAACCCCAAAGAAGCCGUUACCCUAAAAAGCCACAGGCAAAUCUCAAUCGUUGAUCUGAAUUCAUCAGUCAUACUUCAGUAACAGCCAGUGACUCUAAGGAAUCCUUAGAAACAAGAUAAUUUAAAACGACAGUAAAUAGAUCAUCUUCUAGAUCAUAUCUCACACUUGCGACUUCACUCCGACUUUCUGGUAAGCUCUCUUUUCUUCCUCUUGUUUUGGUCUUUUUGAUCUCCGACCUUUCAUAAACUUGGAUCGGCUCCAAUGCGACUGAUAUUUGUGUCUCUUGUUAGUUUUUAUGUUAAUUUUUGCUAUGACUGACGGCUGAGGCUUACGUUACGUUUCUGAAUUAUGCUGGAGACUUUUAUUUGAUACGUUUCUAUUCUAUCGGAUCAAGAAGCGUCUCAUUUUUUUUUCCUUUUUAGCAAUUUUUUUAAAACCAAAAUUAUGAAAAUCAUAUUUUUGAAAUUAAAAAAGUGAUUUUUAUCUGAAAAUCAUUUUUCAAUGUCGCAUCUUACGCUUCUUAAAGUUUGGGUUACUGUUAUCUCAAGUCUACACAUCCGUAAUUGUGUCAUGAAAUUAAUGCUUGUGUGUUGCUUAGACUGAUGAUUUGUGUUUGUCUUAUUAUUCAUAUUUACAUCGUUGUGAAUGGAAACAGAGUGAUUCCAUAUCAAAAUGGCUGAGGCUUCUCCUGCUGCUGCUAAUGCCGAGUUGCUGGAAUGGCCAAAGAAAGAUAAGCGACGCCUCCUUCAUGCUGUGUAUCGUGUUGGUGAUCUUGAUCGCACCAUCAAGUAUGUCUUUAACACAUUAACUGCUCCUGAUGUAGUUGAUUAUUUUGGGUGCUUGGAUGUCCUCAUAUUCUUCUGUACUUUUGUCUUCAGAUUUUACACCGAAUGCUUUGGGAUGAAGCUGUUGAGAAAGAGAGACGUCCCGGAAGAGAAAUACUCAAAUGCCUUUCUUGGAUUUGGCCCCGAACAGUCUCACUUUGUUGUGGAGUUAACGUACAGUAUGGUGCUCUUACUUUGUCUUUGUCUAACAUAAGAGUUACUACUUCUUGAAAAUUGCAUUAGAAUUGUACUUCUUGGGAAAUGAUUAUGAAUGGGGUUAUAUUUUUUUUCUAUCUAUUUCUGAGAUUUUACUUUGCUAUUGAUUCACAGACUAUGGUGUAACUUCAUAUGAUAUUGGAACUGGUUUUGGCCAUCUUGCAAUUGCAACUGAAGAUGUAAGUGUCGUAAAAUAUUUACUGAUUUUGAGCACUGGUUUUUAUCUAAGCACUGAAAUUGAACUAGCAUACCAUGGAAUUUCAAGGUUUACAAAAUGGUUGAAAACAUUCGUGCCAAGGGUGGCAAUGUCACUAGAGAGCCUGGUCCAGUUAAAGGUGGAACAACUCACAUUGCCUUUGUGAAGGAUCCCGAUGGUUAUAUUUUUGAACUCAUCCAGAGAGGUCCAACUCCUGAACCACUCUGUCAAGUAAUGCUUCGCGUUGGCGAUCUUGGUCGCUCCAUCAAGUUCUAUGAAAAGGUAGUAUGACAAAAGGUCUAUCUUCUGCUUGGAUGCUGUAUGAGUAACUGGAUCUCUUACUCCCAUUUCUUGCUAAACCUGUUGCAAUGGGUGUGUUUAACUGUGAAUCCAGUGGUUCAUUUCCAUCGCUAAAGCUGUUGUGGAUCAUCUUGCAUUAUGCCAGCACUUUUUUCGUUAUUGUCCAACAGUGGAUCAAUUGUAGUAGUUAUCAAAUCUGCUUAUAGUUUGCUUUUUAAUCCAAAGGAUCUGCCAUUAAAUGAUGUUGUGUUUGUUGGGUCUCUGCAGGCUUUGGGGAUGAAACUGUUAAGGACAGUUGAUAAACCUGAAUACAAGGUGAACUGCCUCUUCUUUUGAAGAUUUUAUUCACUUUAAUUAGGGGGACCCAUAUUAGUAAUGGACCAUGGAAAGGCUUAUAGAGUUCUGUAUUUUCUAUUUUGGUGGUUUCAUUUAUAUCGCAGUACACCCUGGCCAUGCUUGGAUAUGCUGAGGAAGAUCAGACUACUGUUCUGGAGUUAACUUAUAAUUAUGGUGUGACUGAAUAUACCAAGGGAAAUGCAUAUGCGCAGGUAAAUAUAAGUCCUAGUGGAAGCAUCAGCAACUAUUUCUUCAUUUGAGAACACCCUUAUUUUUCAUGAUUGUGGUAUCAUUUGUAGGUUGCUAUUAGUACUGAUGAUGUAUACAAAAGUGCUGAGGUUGUCAACCUGGUUACCCAAGAGCUUGGAGGGAAGAUAACUCGGCAACCCGGAUCAAUCCCUGGACUCAACACCAAAAUCACCUCUUUCGUAGACCCAGAUGGCUGGAAAACGGUAAUUUUCUCUGAUGUCUUUGAAUUGAUCAUUUUUCUCAUUUGCGGCACUUAAUGCAUAAAAAAAUGAAUGUAUUUUUAUUUUUUGUAUUAACAUUCCAAGCAAUGGUCGCUCAUGUUAUGGUUAUUUUGUGUCGAUUUGUAGGUCCUGGUUGACAAUGAAGAUUUUCUGAAGGAAAUUCAGUCGGAAUAAUGAUGUCAUGGUAGGAGGAGUUUUGCAAAACACUUGCAUAAAAAUAAAUCCUACUACUGUACUAUCUGUAUGAAUAAAUUACCGUGUCUGGUAUUGAAAGCCACCGAUAUGCCUGUUACGAUAUCGGUGGUUUGCUGCUAUGUGAUGUGAUGAAUUAUUAAAUUGAGAUCUACUGCUUAAAUUUGGAUUACGUUGCUAUGCAAGCGUUUAUUUUUUUGUCUGAAAUUUAAAUAAGUGUGAGUUUUUCUAAAGUCUGAAUGGGUCUGAAUACGAAAAUCUUAAUGACAUGUUUGUUUUUUUUUUUUUAAUAUCUGAAUAUAAGUGAUAUUUUGUUUGUUUUUACAAUAAAAAACAUCUUAAAUUUGAUUGUUUGACAUUUAUGUCUUUGUAAAUUAAAACAAAAAAAAGAGGAUUCUAUUUUUUUAGUUUAAGAAAUAAGUUAUUUUACAUAGAUAUUUUUAGAAUAUAAUAUUUAUUUGUUAUUUAAAUAUUUUUUUAUUUAGAUAAAAGUCACAAAAUUUUAUUUUUUUUAUUUUGGAUGUAAAUAUCUGAAAAUGAGACAAGUUUUAAAAAAUAAACAAAUAAAUUUUUUUAAAAAUUAAAAUUAAUAAAAUUUCGGAAUUUAGACAUUUAACAAAUAAUUAUUUAGUGAACGGCUGGCUGAUCUUGUAUGUAAAGGGCUUCAGUUUGACCGUCGAGUCGGCCUUGCAGCUUGUUUCAUAGCGUUAGGCUUGAUGGAAGAAUUCACGUCAAUCAAUCUCCAAUCGAGACUAAACUGUGACGACUUCAAAGAGAAAACGAAUGCGAAUGAAAACUUCACUGAAUUUAAUUGAGAAGCAGUAUCCAUUUUCAUGCAUUUGUUUACGGAUAAGAGGAAUCGUGGCCCCUUUUCCCGUGUCACCAGCCGAAUUUUAUUUAGGGAAAUUAUCUCUUAACUAUUUUAAGAAUAAGAGUUAAAAAAAUAAUGCAAUGAUUUUUAAAAUAAUUAUUGUCGGUUUUAUUGUGAAAAUAAUCAGUUGUAUAGAGUGUUUAGUUAUUGAGAAUGGAAAUGAAUAAUGCGUUUAUUUAUUUUAAUAAGAUAUGAAAUCACAUGUUUAAUAUAAUAAUGCCACGUGAUUAUAGUUCGCGGCUUAAUCACAGGCACAGCCUUGAAUCAUACACGGGUCCGACCGUAGGUCAAAUCGCCGGCUUGAUAUUCCAAAAUCCAAACAACUAAACCCAACGAAGCCGUUACCCUAAAAAGCCACAGGCAAAUCUCAAUCGUUGAUCUGAUUUCAUCAGUCAUCCUCCAGUAACAGCCAAUGACUCUAGAGGAAUCCAUGGAAGCAGGAUAAAUUUUUUUUUUCGGAGGAUAGAAACAAGAUAAUUUAAAGAACAAGAUAAUGUAAGUUCAGUAAAUAGAGGGUUGGUAUAAUUGUGUAUAGCUGCACUUAAUCAUUGAAUUUAGUUAUAGUGAGAGACGCAAUAAUUAAGUAUUUGCAUUUAAUGAUUAAAUAUAACUAUAGUAUGAUACUACAGUUGCACCAUAGCUAAGUCUGGAAAAUAGAUCAUCUUCUAGAUCAUUUCUCACACUUGCGGCUUCACUCCGACUUUCUGGUAAGCUCUCUUUUCUUCCUCUUGUUAUGGUCCUUUUGAUUUCCGACCUUUCAUAAACUAGGAUCGGCUCCAAUGCGACUGAUAUUUGUGUCUUCUUGUUAGUUUUUAUGUUCAUUUUUGCUAUGACCGAGGCUGAGGCUUACGUUACGUUACUGAAUUAUGCUGGAGACUUUUAUUUGAUACGUUUCUAUUCUAUCGGAUCAAGAAGUUUGGGUUACUGUUAUCUCAAGUCUACACAUCCGUAAUUGUGUCAUGAAAUGAAUGCUUGUGUGUUGCUGUAUACAUUUCUAAAGAGAAUAGUACGAUUAUUUUUUUAUUAGACUGAUGAUUUGUAUUUGUCUUAUUAUUCAUAUUUACAUUGUUGUGAAUGGAAACAGAGUGAUUCCAUAUCAAAAUGGCUGAGGCUUCUCCUGCUGUUGCUAAUGCCGAGUUGCUGGAAUGGCCAAAGAAAGAUAAGCGACGCCUCCUUCAUGCUGUGUAUCGUGUUGGUGAUCUUGAUCGCACCAUCAAGUAUGUCUUUAACACAUUAACUGCUCCUGAUGUAGUUGAUUAUUUUGGGUGCUUGGAUGUCCUCAUAUUCUUCUGUACUUUUGUCUUCAGAUAUUACACUGAAUGCUUUGGGAUGGAGCUGUUGAGAAAGAGAGACGUCCCAGAAGAGAAAUACUCAAAUGCCUUUCUUGGAUUUGGCCCCGAACAGUCUUACUUUGUUGUGGAGUUAACAUACAGUAUGGUGCUCUUACUUUUUCUUUGUCUAAACAUAAGAGUUACUACUUCUAGAAAAUUGCAUUAGAAUUGUACUUCUUGGGAAAUGAUUAUGAAUGGGGUUCUAUUUUUUUCUAUCUAUUUCUGAGAGUUUACUUUGCUAUUGAUUCACAGACUAUGGUGUAACUUCAUAUGAUAUUGGAACUGGUUUUGGCCAUCUUGCAAUUGCAACUGAAGAUGUAAGUGUCGUAAAAUAUUUACUGAUUUUGAGCACUGGUUUUUAUCUAAGCACUGAAAUUGAACUAGCAUACCAUGGAAUUUCAAGGUUUACAAAAUGGUUGAAAACAUUCGUGCCAAGGGUGGCAAUGUGACUAGAGAGCCUGGUCCACUUAAAGGUAUGACAACUCACUUUGCCUUUGUGAAGGAUCCCGAUGGUUAUAUUUUUGAACUCAUCCAGAGAGGUCCAACUCCUGAACCACUCUGUCAAGUAAUGCUUCGCGUUGGCGAUCUUGGUCGCUCCAUCAAGUUCUAUGAAAAGGUAGUAUGACAAAAGGUCUAUCUUCUGCUUGGAUGCUGUAUGAGUAACUGGAUCUCUUACUCCCAUUUCUUGCUAAACCUGUUGCAAUGGGUGUGUUUAACUGUGAAUCCAGUGGUUCAUUUCCAUCGCUAAAGCUGUUGUGGAUCAUCUUGCAUUAUGCCAGCACUUUUUUCGUUAUUGUCCAACAGUGGAUCAAUUGUAGUAGUUAUCAAAUCUGCUUAUAGUUUGCUUUUUAAUCCAAAGGAUCUGCCGUGAAAUGAUGUUGUGUUUGUUGGGUCUCUGCAGGCUUUGGGGAUGAAACUGUUAAGGACAAUUGAUAGUCCUGAAUUGAAGGUGAACUGCCUCUUCUUUUGAAGAGUUUAUUCACUUUAACUAGGGGGACCCAUAUUAGUAAUGUAUUUUCUAUUUUGGUGGUUUCAUUUAUAUCACAGUGCGCCCUGGCCAUGCUUGGAUAUGCUGAGGAAGAUCAGACUACUGUUCUGGAGUUAGCUUAUAGUUAUGCUGUGACUGAAUAUACCAAGGGAAAUGCAUAUGCUCAGGUAAAGAUAAGUCCAAGUGGAAGCAUCAGUGACUAUUUCUUCAUUUGAGAACACACUUAUAUUUUCAUGAUUGUGGUAUCAUUUGUAGGUUGCUAUUAGUACUGAUGAUGUAUACAAAAGUGCUGAGGUUGUCAACCUGGUUACCGAAGAGCUUGGAGGGAAGAUAACUCGACAACCCGGACCAAUCCCUGGACUCAACACCAAAAUCACCUCUUUCGUAGACCCAGAUGGCUGGAAAACGGUAAUUUUUUCAGAUAUCUUUUAAUUGAUCAUUUUUCUCAUUUGCGGCACUUAAUGCGUAAAAAAUGAAUGUAUUUUCAUUUUUUGUAUUAACAUUCUAAGCAAGGGUCGCUCAUGUUAUAUGGUUUUUUUGUGUCGAUUUGUAGGUCCUGGUUGACAAUGAAGAUUUUCUGAAGGAAUUGCAGUCGGAGUAACGAUGUCAUGGUAGGAGGAGUUUUGCAAAACACUCUGGUGCAUAAAAUUAAAUCCUACUACUGUACUGUACUAUCUGUAUGAAUAAAUUACUGUGUCUAGUAUUGAAAGCCACCGAUAUGCCUGUUACGAUAUCGGUGGUUUGCUGCUAUGUGACGAAUUAUUAAAUUGAGAUCUACUGCUUAAAUUUGGAUUACGUUACUGUGUUAUUAUUUAGUGAACGGCCGGCUGAUCUUGUAUGUAAAGGGCUUCAGUUUGAGCCGUCGAGUUGGGCUUGCAGCUUGUUUCAUGGCGGCAGGCUUGAUGGAAGAAUUCACGUCAAUCAAAUCUCCAAUCGAGACUAAACUGUGACGGCUGCAAAGAGAAAAACGAAUGCAAAUGAAAACUUUACUGAUUUUGAUUGAGAAGUCGUCUCCAAUUGCAAGCAUUUGUCUGUGGAUGAGAAGAAUCGUGCCCCCUUUUCCCAUAUCACUCGCCGAAUUUGAUUCAGGGAGAUUAUCUCUUAACCAUUUUACGAAUAAGGGUUAAUUUGGCAGUGCAAUAACUUUUAAAAUAAUUAUUGUCGGUUGUGUUGUGAAAAUAAUUAAUUGUAAAGAAAAUUAGUUAAAUAUUCGGUAAAAAUUAUUUUUAAAGUGUUCUGAACUUUGAAAGCAGUCGUAUGCGUUUGUCAAAUUUGAUGAUUAAAUUAUUAUAAGAAUAUAAAUAAUUAAGUUGGACUAUAUUUAUAUAUUUAUAUGUUUAUAGAUGUGCAUAUAAGAAUAUAAAUGAUAAAAUUUGACAUAAUGUUAGAAUAAAAUAUUUUUUUAUUGUGUAUGUAUAAUAAUUGAUAAUUGAAAUAAAAUAUUUUAUACUAUUAAUUUUUUAAUUUUGUUAUCUCAAUAUAAUCAUUAAUAGUAAUAAUCCCUUUAAAGUUAAUGAUUUUAUUUCCUAAUUAAUAAGAAUAAGUUUAGAUUUUUAUAAUAGAUAUGAGAAUAUGUAUGAAAUUGUAUUAAGUAUAAAAAUGAUUUUCAAAAUCAAAUUUUUUAAAAGUUACUCUUUCUUUUUGUUGAUGAAGUGACUUUGCUAAAAAUGAUUUUUCAACAAAUUUAUCAAAUACCAAAAUUAACUUUUUAACUUUUGAAAAUCACUUUUAGUUCCUGUUUGAUAUGGUUUAUCUAAUAGUCAUAGGUACUUAGUUAAUCUCAUAAGCUCUUAUUGAAAUUAUUGUUAUUGUUUAGUUGCUUUUUUAGUAGAGCUUUUGAAGUUUAAAUAAACUAUUUUGUUUCUACUAGUAAAAACUCAAAUUUUAGACUUUUGAGACUAGAGGUUAGAAAGCUUUUUUGAGUUAUUAAAAUAUAUAAAAAUAUCCUCCUUUAUUUGACAAUCUUAUUUUAUUCUUUUCACAACAUAAUUUUAAAAGAAUUGUCUAUUAAGUAAUUUUAUAAUUUUUAAUAAAAACUCUCAUUGACAACCAAAUAACUAAUUUUCUUAGAUAAAAAUUCUAUUUGUAAAAACUCUACUAAUUAAAGCUUUACUUGUAAAAACUCUACCAACAAAAUCUCUACAUAAAUUAGCUCUAUUUAAUCCUCCCAAAAGCAAUCUUACAUGGGUCUUAAAAAGUAUUUAAAGUAUGAGUAAUUACUGUUAGCUUUUUAUAAUAUCUUAGAACUACUUCAUGGUUUAAUUUUAUAUCAAGGACAAUUAUCUAAGAAAAUAAAAGAAUAUUUUGAGAGACUCGAGGAGAAAAAUUCACCUUAAAUUAUUUAAUGGUGGCUGAAAGAGUUAAUAUUACUUGAUAUAAAAUUGAAGGCGAAUAUAAGAUAUUGGUGUAUGACUUGUAUUUUUAACAUUUUUUAAAUGGUUGGGAGAUAAUUUCUCCGGAAGCAACAAUAGGAUGGAAGCUUUCAUCUUCUAGUUAGCUUGUCUUUGUAGAGUCUGAGCAAGAAUUGUUGUUGCCCAAUAUUUCUCAGAAGGCAUUUUACUUAUUUAAAGAAACAAAUAUAUCAGUUGGUUCUAUAUCUAGUUGGUAAGUUUCUUUCAUUUUUGUUAGAAAAUACACAUCAUACGACCUGCGAGGACAACGACAGCUCACUUGGUGGUGGCCGGCACGAUUUUGUCAUACAAUUUAGCCACCCGUAGGAAUAUUUCUAUUAGUACUUCUUUCUGGUUUCGAAUAACCUGUCACCAAUUUCCUUUAUUAAUUUUGGGAAGGGCGAUGUGAGCAAUUGUCUCACAAGGUUCAUAUUUGCAUGUUCCCAUAGGUACAUCCCAUCAAGAUUAGCUACAAAUUUACCUUUUAAAAAAAUAAUAAUAAUAAAAUAAAAGAACCCACCUCCAUUAGGAAGAAGAAAAGAAUUUGAACAAGAGGAAAGAAGAAACUAAGAGAUCCCUCAAGGAAAUUUUCCACCUAUGGAUAUGGCUAUGGCUCUAUCCCAUAAAACUCUUCUUGGCUUGAGCUGGAUCUGAAGAUGUAUGUACAGGAUUGCAGGUUGAAUUGUAUAUCUUCUAAGACCAAAACAAAUAUGGGAACUCAAUGUUGGGGAGGGUGUCCAUCUAUAAAGUUGUGUCCAUUGGAUAGCAACCAAGUACGCGUAGAAAUGUCGCAAAUUCCUGCCAUAUUUUUUGGGGGGUAAAAGAAAAAGGAAAUCCGUUUAGAAUAAAUAUACAAUCAAAUUCCCCAAAAGGAUUGUUACAUCAGUUUAAGGUUUUAAUUGCACGUGUCUUGGAUGUACACAAGCACAGAUGCUAAAUCAUGUCUUCUAAGAGCUGAAAAUGUCAUGAAACAUAAAGAGGCUUACCUGCAAAUGUCCCAAAGCAAAUUGCGCUCGAGGAUCAGCCAUAGAAGCUUCAAAGUCGAUAUAGAAAAGGUAGUCAAAGUACCUGCCACCAAACACAUGGAAAUCUCAUAGCAUAUUCACCUCACCCAAAUUGGGAUGCGAUUGCAAAACAAAAUUUACACGGCAGCUUAGAUGUUUAUAUAGAACUUGGUUGGAAGAAAGAACACAUAAAUCUUAUGUUUCUCCUAUUGCGGAUUAUUAUAUGCUAAUAUGACUGGCAGCAAUAUCUUCUUUGUUUCUUGAGAGUUGCAGCGCUAGUUUGUCAUAAUAUUGUAUGCAUUAAAUUUCUGAAAAGUUCAAAUAUUACUCACUUUGCACUCCCUUUAUUAGAAUCAUCUACAACCCUCAGUGGGCGCUUUCUCUGUGGGCGGCUCUCUAUCUGAAAAGUGCUCCAAAGGAAAGACGGCGAUCAGAGCAUUUUGAUUUAAUUAACUAACAUCAUUUUGCUUUAACUUUCAAGUUACCUUUGUCAAAUUAAUGUCUCGCAGUGCAAACACUGCCAAGGCUUUGAACAGCAUGCCAGGUCCUUCUUCUAGAGUGAAAACAAUGCUUGUCUGGCAAAAAACAAAACCAAUAAUUAUUUUUAUAACAUUAAUAAAAUGAAUAUAUAACUAACAAGGAAGAGUACCUUAUAUGGCCUGUCAGUUCCUGCAAUUAUGGGUUCCCUUGCAAGUAUCAAAAAACGGGUGACAUUAUCGUCAUCAUCCUGAAAAAAGCAAGAUGGCCAAAUUGCAAUAAGAAAAAAAAUUUCUUAUUUAAGAAUCUCACUCAGAAAUAAGUAGAAACUUGACUGUAUCAAAUCCCAAGGCUUGCUUUCCAAUACAUAGAACUAAAAUUGCUAAGAAUUUACGUGUGCCAAUUAGGAAAGUAAAUCUUCAGUUUGAAGAUUACUGAAGAUUAGCAGAAAAUAUGCCGGCAUAGUUUUACAAAUGGUAUAGCAGGAGACAAAACAUCGUAUCGAUUAUGCAUGAGGACGCAUAUGGAAACAAUUGUAAUUGUUGUUAUUAUUUAAAACGAGAAAAAAGAAAAACGAUAAAAGAUGAUCAUGCAGAUUUUUUCUUUUUCUCUUGCAUGGUUAGCACAAAUGGAAAAUUAUCAUUUAUUCAGCUUGAAAAAUGCAUCUGCUUGGAAUAAUUUAGGGAUCACCGAGGUGUAGGAGAAGCAAGGAAAAAGCUUUACCUGGAUCUUUUCAGCAAGAAUGUCAAGCCCAUAGAUUUCAGCAGCCUGAGCACUUGCCACUGCUCCAGUAUCCCUUUCGCCAAUUGAAGCUACCAUCUAUUUCCAAGGUUUAUGUAUCAGAAUAUAAAUAGCCCCUAGCAUAACUAAAAUGAAAACUACAAACAGAUACAAAAGUCUUUUCCAUACAUUACCUGAGCAGCACCAGCUGUAUCAUCAGCACUAAUUCUGACAAUACCUAAAUUACUUAGUGUCAUCUCACAUUGAGCAAGUGCCUGCAAAUGAGAAUUUGGUUAGAUGACCAGAAGCCGUUAGAUCUGAAUCUCCCGAGUUAAUAGACAUGCAAUUUACACAACACAGAUGACCAAGUUCUAAAUAUAACAAACCCUGGGAUUGAACAGUGAGGGAGUGAAAGCAAUCCGUAAAAAUACCUAUUUGACAACCAUUUGGGUUAAUCAUGAUUUAAAAAGAUAAUAUGGACAAAAUUCCUUAUCGGGAGUAGACGUUUUGGCUCUAUUUGAAUUUGGCUACUAUUUUUACUACAAAACGACAACCAUCAACGUCUUAGGUAUUGGUUGAGCUACAUAUAACACACUACCAAGUGUCUUCUUGAGCAAAUAAGACAAGAUAAUCAUGCGCAAGAUAUGAAUAUGACAAACCUGUGGAUGACUGAAGACACGUUUUAACUCCUCCUUCAGUACACCGGGCAACCCUAAAAGGCAAUGAUUAACUACCAAUUGUACUUCUCCCACAAUGUGGAGCCUAUGCCGAAGUAGUAAGUCAUAAUUACGGUGGAUGCUACCACCAACAGAAUUCUCAAUGGGAAGAACCGCUUUAUCCACUAACCACAGUUCAACUGCCUGUUUAAUGAAAUUCAGCAGAAUAAUGGUAACGAUCAAACUUAAUUGAUUUUAUAACAGUAUAAGUCAAGGAUCUGAACCUUGAAUGCCGCUUCAAACUGAUCACAUGGAACAGUCUCGCACUUAGGAUAUGCUUUUCGUGCGGCAGCCUCGCUAUAUGCACCUGGUAAGCCCUAGAAUUGCAAUAUAACCCAUAAAAAAAAAUCAAGAAAAGAUAUUUGGUCCAAAAAAGGAUAAAAACCAAAAAAGAUGGACUGCUUUACCUGGUAAGCAACUCGCACUUUUGUACCAUCAUCAGGAGAAGAAGAAAGUUCCAUUAUAGACAAGGGUUCUGCAAUUUGUCCAUAUACUAGAGCUAAGAAAAUGUGCCAUAAAAGGAGGAGAGAAAGGGAAGAUGGAAAGAAGCAGUGGCACGAAAGAGUCAUAAUUUGCCUUUAGUAUCCAGCAUCAUAUUCAUCUCCAAUAUGUGAAGUCCAUAAAAUUACAGUUCAUCAAAAAUGAAGUAGAUCAAUGACAUAUGUGAACUUCAAGAAAAUGGCUCAUCCCCAAAAAGAUUUAAAUGUAUGACACAUAACAACCAUGAGUGAAAUCUUUGAUAAGGAACUGUAGCCUGUAGGAGCUUUUGGAUAUUGCAUUAGAUAAAAUCAUCUUUACAACAAUUCACAUUCUGAUACUCACAAAAUUAGCGUUUAAACAUUAUCAAAAUAUUCAACAUGAAGUAAAUUUGGUUUCCUAGAGCUACAAGUUAAGAACCCUAAAAUACAUCAAUAUUGCCAACUAACUGGUCAUGAACGUUUAUUCAUUUUCAUCCCUACACAGCACAAAUGAAAGAACCAUUUAUUUAGGCUAAUGAUCCUUAAUUGGGAAAAUUAAAUGGCAUGCAACAUAAUAAAACUCAUAAUUCACCACAAAAGGAGGGCAUAAAUUAUAAAUUAACUCACUAGGAAGAAGAUUCAAAUCCUUGUGAAAGCCAGAGGACUGAGAGUCUUGAGACCGCUCAUUGGCCUCAGACGACUGAACAUCAGGAGUAUAAGGCCUGUCGUCCUCAACAGGAGUGAUAGCUCUGUGAGUCUGAGCCAAAACACCCACGCAAGUACAUUCCCAUUUGUUCAAAACCCUCAAAUCCAAACCAAACCCACAUCUGUUAGGCACCAAAUCUGGCAAACCCUUAUGAAAAUGUGGGGUUUUAGCACAACCCCAGACGGGGUUUGCCUUCAAAGCCAUGAAAGUAUCAAACUUUACAAAGGAUUUGACAAUGUGAAUGCCAAACAAAGAAAAAAAAAAACAAAGAAAGUUCUUUUAGACAAAUCGAGGUAGAGGGUUGGUGUAGGUGUAGGUGAAGGUGAAGAGUUUUGGUGAAACCAAGAAUGACAUUCUCAAAGACUCAAGAGAGAAUGGUUGCUGAUAUUGAGACUGGAGGCCAAGCAUGGACCCCACAUUGGAAGCAGCCGCAGAAGUUAAGUUAAAAUCUUUUCUGAUUUACCGGAAAAAAAAAAAAAAACACUUUGGUUAGAGUUAGAUUAAAAAGAAUACUUAUAUUUAAGGGGAAAAUAAAAAAACAACCAGUAGUUGAACUGAACACAAUGUUGGGCACACGUUUCCUCAGUUUGCGUCUUGUAAGGAAGAGUCUUGACUUGACUCUUGGGAGAGGGCCGAGAGAGAUUCAAGAAGACGUGCUUGAAUUGAUGAUGGAAUACCUCACCAGACUCAUCAAUCAUCAAUUCAUCAUAAGAUGCUGCCAAAGAGCUGAUGGGUAUCAGAUUUCAUCUUUAAUUGUCACAUAUCUGACGUGGCAUUUUUACUGGAAAAAUUAAAUUACUAUGUCAGAUAAGACAAAUAUGCAAGAUUUUGUCCUGCUUUAAUACUUUCGGAGCUAUUUAAUUUAACUGACAAUUAUUAAAGAGUUAUAAAAAUUUAUUGUGCUUAUAUAUAUAUAUAUAUAUAUAUUCAUUUUUUUUUCGAUAUCCUAAUUUUUACUUUAUAGUUAAUUAUUUUUAUCCAUAUACAUAACUAUUUAGAAGUCGAUGCGAUUGAGGGUAAUUUUUAAAAACUUCCCUUAAAGUUUGACAUAUUUAUACUUAGAGGGUAAGUUUGUCUGUAUUAUCAUAUGCCUCCCCAACCGUUAGUACGAAGACAUGCAGGGGUGAAGCUAACACUAUUUUUUAGGGUUAGUUAAAAUUUUUUAAUUACUAUCCAGGUUCAUGACACGUUUAACUAACAAUUCAUCCCAAUUAAAAAGGUUUUCUUUAAUUACAAGAUUUUACUUGAAAUUUUUAAACCAGGUAUGCAGACUAGUGAAUUUGUGUAAUUAAAUAACAAAUUAUUUCCAAAAAUCUUACCCGAGCCGUAGCCACCCGGUCCUUAAUGUACGCAUAAUGCCAAUAUCGAAAGAUAAACUUCUAAAAACUCAAUUAAAAUUCAAAAAAUAAAAAAACCAAACAUAAAAAAUAAAUUGCAUGGUAAAACUACUCUUAGUUAUUACCCAACGUGUAACAACUGUAGUUUCCCUUUCAUGAACAUUUUGAUUUUUACUUUUAAUUAGGUAAACACCAUUUGCAAAUAAGUGAAGCUCUUGAAGAGCAGCUAUUGUAGCCAUAACAAGUCAUCACCAUUUUCAAGUGAGUUAUGAACGAGACAAGCUUGGUGAUGGCAGAAGGGUGUCGUCCAAUAUUAAUGACAUCCAAUGUUUGAUGUGACUGGUAUUGGAACUUGAAAGAACUAAGAGGAUUUCAAAAAAGAAUGGUAUUAAUGAUUGGGAUUUGACGAAACAAAAAAUAAUGCUCUUUAAAAGAGGGCUAAAAGUGGUGGAAAAAAAGCAGUGUUUUAAAGGGUAAUGAAGCUGAAAGAUAUGGAGUUCUUUUUUCUAUCAAUUCUUCUUCUAGCCCAUCUUCCUCGUCUGAUAGAUCAUUAAGGUUUAUGUUGUAAUUAUUUCUCUCCUCACUUCGAACUUUAUUCAUUUAUCUUUAUUGUACAAUUAUUGAUUGUGCAUGAUUUAAAAAUGUAUUACACUACAUUAUGCAAAAUGCAACUCCGAACAUAGGUUUUUGCUCUUCCACUGUCAAACAUACAAAUGGCCAAUGAGAUCUGGCUUUAAAUGGCCAACUUUGCCUUGUAUAUUUACACACAAUUUUUGACAAAAGAAUGAAGUUCUUUGCUAGUUCUCUUACUAUUCUUGCCUUCUUUCAUUUUGGCCUUUUAAAAUGCUCCUUAUUUACAAUUAUUGUCACCAAGAUAAGAAUACUUCCUAUAAUUAAUCCAUCCAUAAUAGUUUCUAACUUUUAGUUUUUAUAGUUAAUCUUUUUAGUUAUUAUGAUGUAAAUUAAUAUUAGUUUAACUACUGUGUAUUUUACUCUUUUCAUCAGAUAAUUUUCCAUCAAUAAAUUGUAGAUGUUUAUGGCCAUUCUGGUGUAAAGGGUAUCUUGGAUAUUUCGUCAAUCCACUAACGAUCAAUGGAUGGUCAUGGAACAACUAACGAUAGGGGAGGUGUGUAAUAAUGUGGAUAAACUUGCCAUCUAAGUGUAAAUAAAUCAAAUUUCAUGGGAGCUGCAAAAUACCGGCGCCCAGAGGCAAUGUAUGCCGAAAGGGUAAAUAAUUCUGAUGGAAAAUUGUCUCAACUAAACUACUACUUCCAAUUUAUUUAUUUGUUUUGGGUCAAGAGUGAGUGAGUGAGGGCGGGCGGAGUCAAAACAUAGAAUAUUUUAUCCUUUGGGGUCAAAAACAACGAGUCGGUUAAAGUUUGAUAAACUUUUUUUUCUUCUUGUUCCUAUUGUUCGAAGCUCGGUUAACUUAAUAUUUGAUUGGCUAUAAAUGAUAAUGAAAUUUAUUUAUUUAUUAAGCUGCUGACAUUCCCAGGCAGGACCGGAGCAUUCAGGAAUGCGCCAAAUUGUGGUUUUUGGAUGCAAAAUGGUGACUUUUCAGCUUUAUAUAUACUAUUUUUAAUUGGUGCCCCCAUACCUAAUUCGAUAUUCAGCACCGCAUUGUGGAUUAAUAAAUAAUAAAAUCCAAUUUAAGCGGCUAUAACAGAACAGGUACCCACUUGGGAAGGGUCGACUUUAGGCUGCAUAUAAAUAUAAACUAGUGUAUUGGUCUCAUUUGACCUCACCUACUUAAUUGAUUGUUACUUAUUUUAAUCUUAUUUUUAAUGAUUGUAACUUACCGAAAACUUAAUUUAAGGAAUAUCACUUGGAUGGAAGGAAGGAAGGAGAAAUUAGAAUGAACAGUUAGACCUUUAUUUGUUUUUUUUUUAUGACAUGAGACUAUUGCUCAAAUUACAACUCAUAUUACAUGAGAGUAUAACUGAUAUGUACAAUCAUAUAUAUAUCUACUGAGACCUGUUGACAUUAAUACUGAUAUGGCACCGCUCAGAUUUAUAACCCUCUCAAAUAUUCGAGGGACGUCAAACUCCCAGCUUAGGAGAAAGACUGCCUUCACCCAAGCGCUAGAGCUCCAAGGAAGGACAUUUAAAUGUUAGACCUUUAUUAAGUAUAGAGAAGAAAACCUUAAAUUUUAUCAAUAUUAGAAUAUAAAAAGGAUGGAGAGGCCUUUUCGUAAUUUAAAAGUAAUUUCACUUCCAAAACUAGCUGUAUAAUUAAUAGUGACUAACACCCAAAAUACUUGAUUAGAGUCUUCAUAAUAAAAAUUUAUUUCAUCUUCUCCCCAAGUAUUCGUGGCAAUAAAUUAUUGAAAGGGUUUAAGAAUAACUCCAGCAACUAAAACUGUUAAGCUGUCAAUUAGUGGCACAACAUCUGUCCUUCCAUCGUUAUUAAGCUUGGGGAGAAAUUAUUUCCCAAGUCGAACAACUAACAUUUAGGCUUUACAUUGAUGAUGAUGAUGAUGAUUUGAAAGGGAACAAACCCUAUGAAACCAAGUGUGAGUUGAUCAUGAUUGAACUUUACACUCUAUCUAUCAGCUGUCUAUUUAUCCUCCUGGGAAAGUCUCAUGUUGCGUUGCGUUCGUAUUGGUGGUGGUGUGGUGGAUAGAUAUAAAUUUAAGAAGCUGUUGGGUGACAUUUAAUCGUAUCACGCUCCAUGGAAAAAUCCCCCUUUUUCUUUCAACUCUCUGUAUUUAUUAAUCUUCUUCGGACGUUGCCAAACAGAUACGGUGACAACCCCAACUCUGAGGGUUCACCUCCUCCCAUAAUUAGAUCAUGGGAUCGGCGUCUUCCUUAUAUUAAUUAUUAUUGUUAUUAAAAAUAAUUCAGAAAAAAAAUUUGUCCUUUUUUUGUAGAAAUUAAUGGUACAAUAGCUGGCAGUACACUGUUAGUGAUUCAACAAUAACAUCAUUAUACAAACACAUCUUUACAACACACAAUCAAUUAAAUCUUAUCAUCACACUAAUUAGGAACAUAAAGAACACAAUGUACAAGAGAUGCCACAAAUAAAUGAUUUGCACAAUGAAUUGGAGUUAUAGACCCGUUUGGGGCAGCUGCGCGGUGGAGGUCAGUUCUAGGGUAAUAUUCCCCUAAAAUUGGCCUUGGGAGCAGCUGCACAGUGGCAGCACAGCUGCCCCGAACGGGUCUUAUAUGUACUAACGAUACUUCUUCAUCUCUUUAGUAAUUCUCUAUCACCACAUUUGGUUACCCCCCCCCCCCCCCCCCCCNNUAUGCAGAUGAUUAUGAGAUAAUUGGCUGCUGUACCGUACAUCCGCCUUGGCCGUACAGCAGUAUCUCCUCCAAAAGAAAAAAAAAAUCAACAAAAAACUGUAUUUUCUAAUAGGUAUGUUGUAAUUAAAAGUCUAUUAGUAUUUACAAUUUGAAGUUUACGACUACCCUAAAUCAAGUCUAUUAUGCUAUUUUUGGGAGCUAAGAUUAAGUGUAGAAUUUAACUAAUUUUUGGAAUAAAAUAUUAAUUCUAUGUUUCCCUUGCUCACUUGGAUUGGGCUAAUGAACUCAAUUCAAAUUUUAAUCCUAAAUUCAUGGGAUUAGUAAUCCCAAUUUUCAUUUGGGUUUAGUUAGGAUUAGAUAAUGGGGAGAAAAAUGUUUGUCCAUUUAUGAUAUCUUCCACAAUUUAAUUAGUACUAUAUUUUUACAUAUAACUUAAAAUUUAUUUAUUUAUUGUUAUUAAUUAAGUAAUUUAUUUUUUUGUUAUUCAUGAUUUACUUAAAAUUUAUUAACUGAUUUAUUAUUUGAAUAGGUUUAUUUAUUUUAUUUAAUGAUAUGAUAUGUCUCAUAUGAAAUAACCUAUAAUUUAAAUAAUUCAUAUUUCUUGAUUAUAAUUAUGACUAUCCAAACACACACACACACACACACACACACACACACAUAUAUAUAUAUAAAUUUUUCUUAUUGGUUUUAUUUUUUAUUAUCAUAAUAUUUUGUACUAAAUAUAUAUAAAUAGUUGAUAUUUAAAUUCAAAUAUUAACUUAAAUAUUAUUUAACUUCAUUUAAAUUUAAUUUAACAUAAUCUAAUGCAACCUAAUCUAAUGCAAUUUAUUCUAAUCCAAUCCUAAUAGUUAGUCCAAUCAAAUUUUGGGUGUCAAACGUAUCCUUAUAGUACAAUAAAAUUUUUUACCCUCACAGCCUCACUAAUAUCAAAGAGACAUUUACACCACCCGUACUAAUGCAGAAAAUAUUUUAUUUCUACUAAAGCAAGAAAAAAAGGGGCAUGAUUUGCACCAAGGGCUUGGUGUUUAGUGGUCCAUUUGUGGUAGAACUGUUGUGAAUUCAAACUAAAGGGUGAUCUAACUUUGUGCUUGUCGUCGCUGACUAGUCUUGAGAUUUAUUUUAUUAUUAUUAUAUAAUAUGUUAGAAAGAAAAAUAGAUAGAGCCAGACCCAUCCCAGUAUAUAGAUAUGUCAUCAAUACUGUAGAAAUUGUUGUUCUAAUAUACCUUACUGUAAUAAUAUGAAUUGUAUUAAAUAGAUUAAUAGACCCGUUUUAAAUUAUCACCUGUAUAACUUCAAAUCUUGCUCUUGGGCCAUGCAAAUGGCUACAAUUUGAAUUGAAUUCCUAAAACAAACCAAGAGGUCCAAGACCAACAAAACUAAUUUUAUAUAUAAAAAGAACACAGUAGUGGUAAAUGGAAAAUAGAAUAAAUCUUAUAUAUGAGCUAUACAAUCAAAUCUUAUUCUUAUACAAAUUGAUUGUUCCUAGAGAGGCAUGAAUUAACAGUAAUAAUCAAUACGAGCUAAACAAGCCUGCCGACGCAAGUGUCCUUGCAGAAAAUGGCACGGACUUGGUAAAGAAUAUGCUUAGCUUUCUCAUAAAGGAGAGAGUCUGCUUCCUAUGGGGAAGUAAGUCAUGGGAAUUGGAGGGCUUUUCUUCGAUUUGCUCUUGUUUAAUUUGCUUUUGCUAUCGACAUCCGCUCUGGCUAUGCUUGAUGAUCUGUUCUGUGUGUUUUUUAUCUCUCCCUCGCUUGCGACCCUGCUUGAAUCAGAAAAGCAACCAAAGAUGCUAGACAACAAAGCCAUUGACGAUGUUGUUGUAAGUAUAAAGCUAAUUAGCAAUCUGCAGCCGGCAAAAAGUAGUCAAGAUUUGAGUCCUUAAGCAAGCUCUCAAGUAUUUGUGCUUUUUUCUUGGAGGAUAAAUUUCUGGCUCCUCUAUAUAUUAAUGCCGAGGGUGCUGCCAAAUUCCAAGGAAGAAGCGUCGAAGAUUCAUUCCCUCAGGUUUCGCUAGCACUUCUUAGAAAUAUCGAGCUAGCUAUGAUUGUCAUGAGGGGCUGCAAGUCAAUGAGAAAUGGACCCAUGCUUAGAAUUAGAAUAGUGGCGUGUCGUAUCAGGUGGGGUUCCUUUUGUUUUUUUGAUAAGAGGUGGGGUUCCUUAGAUGAACGGAAGUACAUAAUAUGCUAUGUUGUCAUUAAUUGUUUGGUGGUAUGGCAAAGGCAAACAAGAAUGAUAUUGAACUGGUCAAAUAAUAUUUAUUUCAAACUUGGGUAACGAUGACUUGACACGUACAUACACUGCACAAGGAAAAUGCGUGGACAAAAAUACUGACCCUUUGGCAGCAGAAUCUCUCUUCUCAUACGCAAUCACAACUCGGAAGAAGCCAGGCAUUAGCAAUGCUGCUUCUUGCGUCAAAAAAAAAAUCAAAGAGGUCAAGCUUCUUUAGCAGCGAGGCUUGACCAUUAGUUUGGACAAUGCAAAAUUCUCAGGAAGCUUCGUUUCUCCCAUGAAACCAAAUGUGCAAAUGUAUAAUUCAAAUGAAUUUGCUAACUUCAAAAAAUCUUCUUUGUGGAUAAAAAAAUCUGUCGGAUCGGCAGUGAAAGGUGUAUAUAUAUAUAAUAGUUUUUUGGUCCGGAUUCUUAAUGUGCGGAAAAAUCUGAGAAAAUUUUAAAACUGCGGGAUUUUAAACGCUUAAAACUUAAAACGCUUAAACCACACGAUUUAUGCAUUUUUUCAGAUGUUCUCGCACUUUAAAAUUCUAGAUUAAAACACUCUCUCUCUCUCUCUCUCUCUCUCUCUCUCUCUCUCUCUCUCUCUCUCUCUCUCUCUCUCCCUCCCUCUAUAUAUAAAGAUUUACCCACUUAGCUCGACUAAUGCAUACUUAAAGAAUAAAUAACCAUUCAUGUGUGUAUUCAAACAAACACUUGGGGAUUCUAAGAUUAUUGUUGACGAAGUCUAAAAAAGAGAAAGAGAAAGAGAAAGAGAAAGCAAAGGCAUGGAAGGGAGUGAAAUCCGUUGGGGGUUGGUCUGGGCUGAGGCAGACCGCAGACACCAACUCCAUCCUCUGUUUUUGCCGCAUUUCUAUUGCACAUAUAAUAUGAAAUAUGAAUUAAUGAAUAUGAAUAUGAACAUGAUCCCAGACAACAAAACAAGUCUAAACUACACUUUUCUUUUUUCUAUGUCCCCACCCCACCACCAAUCAUUAUUAAUUCCAUGACAUCGAGGGGAACUCUCUUCUUACUGUAACAUUGGCCACUCGCCGCCGAAUGAUUGUCUCAUUUGUCCAUUUCAAUAUUGGUCAACUCAAAUCAACGUAGUUACGUUAUAAAUAGAAAAAUAUCCACGAAGAAAUGGGGCACAAGACAAGAUCAUUCCUAUAUCUGCUUUAGUGUCUGUCUCCUCAUCAUCUAUGCAUAACUCCAUCUAGGAUUUUGAAAAUGAAAAGCUAAUUUGAAAGAAAUGCGCUUCAUUGGAAAAGAGUCAUAUUUGGAUUUUCUCUCAUAUGAUAUUCAUAUUAAUUAUAAAGGCUAAAAUAUAUAUUCACAACUUUAGUAACAUCGUAUCAAACCCAACCCCAAGUUUGAAAAUUUUUAAUAAAUCUCUCAAGAAUGUAUAUAUAUCCACAUUUAUAAAAUCAAAAUAAAAGAGUAUUUAGAUAAUGAUAUAAAUAUGUGAAAUUUAAAAUAAAUUAAAAAUGUAUGUGUAAAUAGUAAAUAUCAUAUGAAACAAUUUCUAUGCUAUAUCUUCUACAAAUAAUAUGAUUAUUGAUCGAUUCAAUUACAAGCUGCCUAAACUUCUAGCUAAAGAAACUAACCAGAUAAGCUCCAAGUUAAUACAACUUGGAUUGAUUCUAUAAAAUUUCAUCUUUAGCAUCCACUUGUAAAUAUUUAGGAAUACUCCAGAGAAUAUUAGAAAGAUAAUAAUUUUUUAGAAUUAAAAGGAUUCUAAAACUUAUUGAAAUUGGACAAGUCUCCCUGUGAAUAGGGCUUGAUACUCGCGCCAAGAAACUUAUAAACAACUCAAAAAACUCUAAGUAAGCUUUCAAGCUCUCUUGUAUACGUAUUUUUAUGAAUAAUACACACCCUCUUUUAACUUAAUUAUAUUUUUCGGAUAAGAGUUGCCAAGUGUCAUACCAAUAUAUUGUGUAAAAAAAAGCCCAUGAAAAACUCAUCUCGUGAAAUUAAGCAUAAUUAAAAGGUAGGCCCAACAAUAUGUCAACUACUCUUAGGGGAAAAAAAAAAGAAAGAAGGAAAAAUAAAGACAAAGUAAGUAACCGAAUGAAGAAGGUACCUCUGAAAAAAACAAAAAAGAGUAUGGUAUAACCGAAGGAAAAGGAAAGAGAGAGCCACAGUGUAUACUGAAAUAGUGAAAUUUAAAAGGGGGAGAAAUUAUCGACGGAGUCCCUCCCAGUUCCAGCUGCAGUCCGAAAGAAUCACCAAAAGCAGUGCCCAGAUUGCGUGUAUCUUCUGCCCCUUACUCACACUAUCCAAUAAAUCAAAAUCCUUCCCAGUGAAAAAGACCAAACUAGCCCCAUUGCUUUUUACCCGUAAGCAUAAACUGCCCGCACAGAUGAGAUAGGUAUCUAGGAAACUAGGACUAGGCUCUCGCUUGGAUUCGAAAAUCGAAAGCCAACCAGCUGAAAAUGGCCAGGUCCUCCACGGCAUCCACUACGAUGCCGUUUCCGGCAAUCAAACCAGAGGAUUAUUCCCAUAGCCCGGUCCACUACGCUGUCGUUCUGGGUGAUCACACUACUUUGACUAGAAUUAUCUCGACUCUACCUAGACUAGCCGCCGAUCCUUCUAAAAUCCACACCGAGUCCGACUCUCUGAGUCAAGAGCGUGUCGCUGAUCAAAUCGCUUCCGUUCUCGACCGUCGUGACGUCCCUUUCCGUGAAACCCCUCUCCACCUUGCUGUUCGCCUAAAUGACGCCUUCGCAGCACGAUCCCUGGCCUCCGCUGGCGCUGACGUCUCACUCCAGAACGCCGCCGGAUGGAAUCCUCUCCAAGAAGCUGUUUGUCGCCGAAACUCCGAUAUUGCUUUGAUUCUGCUCAAGCUUCACCACCGCUCCGCUUGGGCCAAGUGGCGCCGUCGCCUGCCCCGUGUCAUCUCCGUUCUUCGGAGAAUGCGGGACUUCUACAUGGAAAUCUCCUUCCAUUUCGAGAGCUCCGUAAUUCCCUUCGUCGGGAAAAUCGCUCCAUCCGAUACUUACAAGAUAUGGAAACGCGACGGCAACCUCCGAGCCGACACGUCGCUAGCUGGCUUCGACGGCUUAAAAAUCCAGCGCGCUGAUCAAAGCUUUCUCUUCCUCGGCGACGGUGACCAAACGCACAACGUUUCGUGCGGUUCCCUGCUAGUACUUAACCACGACGACCGCAAAAUCUUCGACGCCUUCGAAAACGCCGGAGCUCCUAUGUCUGAGUCUGACAUUGCCGGAUUCUGCGCUCAAUCCAGUGUCUACCGGCCGGGUAUGGACGUAACCAAAGCCGAGCUGGUCGGACGUACUAACUGGAGAAGACAAGAGAAGACAGAAUCCGUCGGUGAAUGGAAAGCAAGGGUUUACGAACUGCAUAAUGUCGUUUUCAGUUUUCGCUCGCGAAAAGUUCAUGAAAACGACGUCGCCGGAAGCGAACAAGUACUGCCGUUAGAACUUGAUGAAGAUGAUGACGGAUUUCUAGUCGCUGAAAAUCCAAGUUUCGGCUUUAACGUCAGCAAUAACGACAGACGAAGACACAGUAGUUUUGUGAGAGAGGAAAGGGAUUUCGUAACUGUCGGGAGAAAAAGCGUGGAUAUAAUUCCUUCGGCUGCAUUGCCGAGAAGGUCGACGGCGGUGAUGGCCGCGCCUCCCCCAACGAAAGAGAAAGAGUUUGUGAAGAGUUUACGCCCGUCGAUUUGGUUAACGGAGCAGUUUCCAUUAAAGACGGAGGAGUUAAUUCCUUUACUUGAUAUCUUGGCGAAUAAAGUGAAGGCAGUGAGAAGAUUGAGGGAAUUGUUAACUACUAAGUUCCCGCCGGGGACAUUUCCGGUUAAGGUAAGGGGUAAUUUCGGGAUUUUUGAAAAAAAAUUAAAUUGUUUAAAAAAGUGGGGUCCUCUGCAGUGUUUUGCUUUGCUUUGUUUUUCUAUUGGUUCUUUUGAUGCUUCACCUCACCUGACCCUUUCCGAUUCCGACCGAAGCUUUUUCUGUGGGGUCUAUUCCACUGCCGUUUAUGAUGGUGACGUCGAAGGCUGUGAUGGCCUGUUUUUUGACUUUGUGCGGAGUGAUUUGAGAUGCGGGGACCCAGUAAAUCCGAGGAUUCUUUUGUUUAUUCGUGAUUCUGCUUCUUCAAACCAGGGAUUUUCUCUUUUAUUUUUUUUGGUGUGUGUCUGUGUGUGACAAAUGUAUAUAGAUUAGAGACACAUAUAGUAGUAUAUUUUCCGUUCCUUUUGCCUUGUGUUUGAAUUUGAAUGGUGUUCAUAAUAUACUUAAUUGAUCCGUGUGUUAAAGAAAGAGCAACCGUCUGAUUGACUGUUUGUGCUUUGUUUAUUGGAUGGGGGAUCAGGUGGCAAUUCCGGUGGUGCCCACAGUAAGAGUUGUAGUGACAUUCACAAAGUUUGUUGAGCUACAAUCAACUGAGCAAUUCUUCACUCCGCUUUCAAGUCCUAGACACUUUGUUAAAGGUUCAUCAGAGGACGACCAAAAAUCAGAGACCCAUUAUUCACCAUUCCCAUCAUCCUCUUCCUCAUCGUCUAUGAUGUCGUCGACCUGGCUAAGGCGAAACAGCAGCCAAUCAGCAAGCAAGCAGCAGCAGCAGCAGCAGCAGCAGCAGCAACAACGUAAUUCUUCAUCUUCAUCAUCGUCAUCAGUGGGGCACCAACAAUGGUCGGAUCCUUUUGCGAUACCAAUUGGGUAUACAUGGUCAAGUAUUGAUGAUAAGUCAAGCAAAAUGAAAAGGUCCAAGUCUUCUAGGAAAUCCAAGUAGGAAGAGAGAGGGAAAAAUGUCGAAUGUUAGGCAGAUAAGAUUUGUUGUUGAACUGUCGUCCCAUUGUUUUCUUUUGGCUUUGCAGCAAAUACAGCCCAGACCAGUGUAGAUAUUGUUGGGGUCACCCUAAACCUAUUGACUAAUUGGCUCGAUCUGUUCCUUACAAUUUUGCUUACUUGUUUAGAUGACCUUGACUGGAGUGAUUUAGAUUGCUUUUUGAUGUUCUUUUUAUUCUGUCUGGUUGAUUGUUGAAGGCCGGACAGCACCAAUUAAAACGAGGGCUGUUUGUAACAACAUGUAAUCAAACAUCAUUAUUGAGAAUGAGUGAGAAUGAUGGCAUGUUGAGCAGGCCAGGCCCUGAAGGGGAAAAAGUUGUGAAAAUAUCCUGUUUACUGGACAGAAUUUUAUGUAAGAUAAAGCAAUUCAAUCAUUUUUCGAAAGCCAAUUUGGAAUUCAUCAAAGUAUAUCUUUAACACAGAUAUGCAGCUUCUUUUCCCAUCCGAAUUUUGCAAUUCAAAUUGUAGUCGGCAGGAAAUUUAGAAACAAGGACUAACUCUUGCCAUUAGAAGUCCAAAACAAAUGAAUAUCAUUUGCUUUACUGGCCCUGCUUGUCUAACGAGUAAACAGCGUCAUUCUAGAAAAUUCAGAGUCAGAACUCAGAAUCACAACCACACGCCUCUCUACCUGCAUUUGGUCCUCGCACACCUUACUUUCUCGCUCCCUCAUGUUACAUGUUAACUCAGAGUCUUGGUUGAUUGCAUCAUGAUAUAAUGAUUGUUUACUCACAGUACAUUUUCAAAAUACACCAGUGUGGUUAGUGACAGCUAUACAGUAAUAUAGGGCAUAAAAACGAAAGCAGCAUAGCUAAGCUUAAGCUAUACCAAACAUUACUUGCCUCUUCUGUCACUUUUUCUUUUGCAUACUACUUUUAAGCUUUAACUCAACUCUAACUAGUGUAGUGGAGCAAAGGGUCUCGAGGGCAAUGUACUCGAUUUCGAAAACCCAAUUUAGCAGAAAACGUAUUAUACGAAUAUGAAGGGUUAUUUUGAAACAUUGUUUUGUUACUUUCGUUUUCUUGAGUUGCGUUCCGUUAGGGCAGACACGGGGAGAUGGGUAAGAGCAGUGUUUCUCUGCUUGUUCUCUUUCAAAGACCAUACUUUUGUAGUAAUCUUAAUCUAUAAGCUAAUGUUAUUAGGUAAAGUAACACAUAUGCAAUUCCAAUCUAAGGCUGAGCACAGUUGAAUAUUAAAGUAAAGAAAUGGGAUUGUCUCAUUGAGAUGCCAAACAAAGUUUGCUUCAGAACACGGAAACAAGUGAGUUGGCAAGUCCUUAUUAAAGCUUAUUAAAGAAGAGUUAAAGACAACCAUCAGCCAGUGGCUUGUUCUUUAUUAAAACUUUAUUACAAGUCCAUGACUUCUUAAAAUUCAUCAUUCUUCAAUUCAUAAAAUCCCGGAUCAAGUUUCUUAAGGCAAGUAGUCUUCACCAGGUACUCCCUCUCUUUCUCCCUCUGUAAAUGGGUUCUUGAUUUGUGCUUUACCGUGUCAUAAUCUUCAGGAGAUCUUAAAGCUUUAUAAUUUUAUAAUCUUGAUUUAUCGUUUUCUUAGCUGCCUAAGAUUGGCGUGAAUAUGUGCUUCACUUAUAAAUACUAUUCGUUAAUCAAGCGAAAUUUUACUUAUUUCUAUUUUAGCGCUUAGGAUCUAAGGCUGAUCCAAUUCCUCUCCUUGGCAUAUCAGUGGUAAUAUAAUGAUAAGUUUGGCGCAUCAAUGCAAUAUAUGUUUUUGUUUAACUGCUGUAAACAUGGAGGACAGAGUAUGUAGACAAUUAGAUCUUAGGCUAUCCACCAUUAAGUGAGUGAUGCCAUGCGAACAACUCUGUUUUUACAGUGAAAGUUGAAGCCUGUUUUGCUAGGAGUUGAGGGUCGAAAGCACCAUGGCUACUGAAGCACCAAGUUGGGCAGAUCAAUGGGGAGCCGGAGGCAUUGGUGCCAUGGAAAAUGAAGACCGCACAAAAGUUGAGAACGAAAGCAGUAACAAGAAAGCCAAUGCAAAAGGAUUCAACAAAGCAAAAGUUGCAUUUUUCAGUGCCAUCAAAUGGGUCAAGCAUCGAUGCCAGAGAAAAAGCACCGAUAAAUAAGAAAAAUAACCAGCAUGUCUACCUUAUUGUAUGCAGAUGAUUAUGAGAUAAUUGGUUUCCUUUCCACAUAAUCAAUAUGAUAUACUUUUGUAUGAUUGCAACAUAUGCAAUAGCACGAGUAUAUGAACCACAAAAUCUAUUCACCAGAAAGAUGAUUGGAUAAUCAGUAAUACUAGUAAAUUAGUUUCCUCCAUUCAAUAUCUACCGCUAAGGGACAAUUUUAACGAGAGUUACUUCUAUCAUCAACUGAUGCAAUCAACCCAAAAUAAAAACAAUCAUCAACUGAUGCAAUCAACCCCAAAUAAAAACAAGAUAUCAGUGAACAUGUCUGGGAAUGGCUUAAAAGGGAUCAACUGAGAAUAUACAACUUUCAAAUUUUAUGAUACAUGGCUUGUUGCCUUCGCUCUUAAAAUGACCAACCGAAGGUAUUCUCUCCACUGUAAGUCAUGUAAAGAAAACCAUCUUCAUCCUUGUUUUCCUCAUAUAUAGCAGACAUCAAGGCACCUGUAACCACAGAAUAUACGUUACAAAAACAAACUACUAUGGUAUAAUAGAUUUAUGCUUAAAAGACUGCCACUCACCGGUUGGAGGUAAAGUAUUCUUAACAAAAACAAAUAUGGCCUUUUCUGCACUGAGCUUAAUCCUUUUACGGACAACAUAAACAAAUUGUCCCACAGAUAAAUCCGCUGGGACAAGGUAUCUGCAUUCACAACAACAAUAUGCAUAAUGACCAAGUGAUGGAAAUCGCUGGACAAGUUUUAGAAUAUUAAAUUUAACUGCAUUCUCAUCCAAGUCAGGUCAACUCAGUCAAUGUGACAUAAUUAGUUUACAUAAAACAGUAUUCUCUCACGUUGAAGGACUCCCCACAUACUGUAAGAUGAGAGAGGGAGAAAUCAAUUCCAUAGAAAUGUUUUUACUAUCGAACUGCAGUAAAAUAGGCAAAAAUUUUCACCCAAAAAAAAAAAAAAACCUUAUUUUCUAAGUAUAUAAAAAACUACAAACAGUUUUCAUUGAAGUAAGCAACUAACUUUUUCUUGUCAAUGUCAGGAACAUCAGUCUUCUCAGCCUUCUCCACAAUCACCUAUAUGGCAAGCGCACUUGAUUAGAUGCAAGUACAUUACAUUAAUGCACUGGAAGCAUACAGAAUUUCAUGGCAGAUAAUUCUUACCGGAAUCCUGUCAGGAUACUUCUCUCUAAUGCGAGCAGAUUCUGCCAGCCUCCUCUCUGAGAUAUAUAACAACAAAUAACAGACAAGAAAUGAGAGAGAACAGAAUAAACAUUACAAUUAAUUCCUUGACACACACACAAAGCCAAACUGGAGAAGAACCAUGACAAUGGUAAUCACGGAAAUACAAUUGUUUGUUAGAACAUAUGGAUGGGAUGGGGUUAACAUGGUGAACAAACAACUGUGCCUCUUUACAUUAUGCAUUCCUUGCUCUUGGUAAAAGGAUUAAGGGGAAAAAAGGGGGCCAAGCGAUUACCCAUAAUGAAGUAUAUACAACAGAUACCAUAAAUCAUUCUUUCAUGUCACAAUGUGAAGGAAUUAUACAGGCGGAGAGAGUUGAGGACAUUUUAAUUGGCAAAGAACCACCAUCAAUGAAGAGGUCGCCAAAUUCGUAACAAAGUCAAUUAGAAAAUCGGAUAUUUCAAAUAUUUCUUAAAACCUCAUCAAUGAAAAUAUCAUACCAGAAAAAUAUUUCAAAGGGUUAACCAAAACAAGCAUAUGGGUAAACAAUAAAAAAAUAGUAAUAAAAAGAUUUAUUUUAUAAGAAAAAAUUGAAAAUUUUAACGAACCCAAUGGAUGCUCGAGCUUGAAUGAACUUUUGGCCAUGGCGAAACUGACGCUACGAUGACUCUCUGCAAAUUUGAAACAGAUGAACAUCAUAAUCAAAACCCCACCCAAAUUAUUAAAUAAAAAAACCAAUAUUUUCUAGAUGAAUACCAAACCAACAGAAAAUAAUUAAUAGUAAAAAAGAUGAUGAUAUAAAAAAAUAAAGAAGUGUCAAACAAAACAACAUACUCAACACGACACGAGAAGUGGAUCGGAGAAGAGAAGGAAAUUAUUAGGGUUUCAAGGUAUUUGAUUGAUUGAUUGAUUGAUCGGUUGAUUGUGGAGAAUUUAUUUUGUUAUUUUAGGACGAUUUUGUUAAGAAACUUGUCAAGGGCUUCUUUUUGUUCCCAACACGGAAUUGCCUUGCCUCCGUUACAAGGAAUCUCUGGCUGCCUCGUGUCGGUUUAGCAGUGUGCUUUGGGAUACGACGCCGUUCUGGAUCUGUGCAAAAUCGACUGGGCUGGGCUUUUGCCUAGCGAAAUUUCUUUCGGCUCGGAUCAACGAUAUAAUACAAUCGUUUGUAUUUGGUAAAAUCGCAUUUUGUACUAGUUUUGCGAAUAUUCUUUUUCAAAGGUCAAAUAAUAAACUAAGAUACCAUGACUUCAUCAAACAUUAUGAGAAAUCCUCCUCCAUGUCUCAAGUCUCAAUUAUCAAAUCCAAAUCACAAUUUGAGUAGAAGAGAAUGGCAAUGUUCGAUAGUUUUCCCAAACCAAUUGAAAUUUGAAUUAGCAUAAACGACUAAACCAAUUAAAACUUUAAACGAACCAAAAUUCUUGCUAGCUGAGCUGUUAUAGGAGAAGAUUGAAAUCGUAAUUAAAAACAUUAACUAUAUAUAUAUAUAUAUAUAUGUCUCAAGUCUCAUUUGAUGGCCCAUAAGGAGACAAGAAGAGGGAGCAAAGAAGGCAAAGGACCGCAGAGAAGAGAGAGGUCAGUAGUACUAGAGUAGUAAUAGUGGCUCAUUAUUUAUUUAGGUGAGUCUGUCCAAUAAAUUAAGAUCAUGCAUCUUCAGUCAUUAACAAAAAUCUCGCUCUUCUUCUUUCUCUGUCUCUCUGUGUUCAAAACAAAUAAGUAUUGUGGGUCACUGUUAUUCGACGACGUCGUUGUCAUCAUCAAACACAAGGAGUACGAGGAGACCACGGUGAUAAUCAUGAGGAGAAGGGACCUUAUUCGAGUUCAAGUAUGAAGAUAAGAUAUUUAGCCGCGGCUAAGGAAAAAAAGAUGUAGGUUCUAUGUUUUAAGAAGGUGCAUUGUACGACAAAUGUUAAUAAAUUAUAUAUAUAUAUAUAUAUAUCAUUCUUUCUUUUCUUGUACUGUACGUGCGUUAAAGGUUUUAAAGUCGAUCGCUGUGUUAUAUGUGUACCAAAAUUUUAUUCUGUUAUUAGGUUAAAGCACGUUGUUAAUUAAGUUACAUAAUCGAUUACUAUAGCUAGGGUUUCAGUCAGAGAAGAAUUUGAGGAUGAUGAUGCAAGUGCAAUGGCAGAGUUUUCACAUGAAAGAGUCAUUAAAAGAUGACUUGGGUUGCAAUUGCAUGCUUUGUUUAUCAGACCAAAAUCUACAAACAUACAAAUAUUGAUUCAUAUGGAGAGAGUAGCAUGUCAUUGCGCAUUGCUGUACAUGUAGAAAUUAAUCCGUGUGCGUAGGAGGACGAGGACUUUUUAACAAAGAAAGUAUAUAUAUGUAUGUACGCAUGUACUGCCACUAGCUGCUGAUGAUCAAUUAAAAGUAUAAUGAGGUAAAUACCUUUUGUUGAAGCUAGCUUAGCAAUGGCAUAGCUGGUAGUCGUACCCAAACGACAUAAACACAAUUUUGAAACUCCAAAACUUGAUUCACUCUUUGCUGCUAGCAGCUAGCUCUCCCUCACGCUAGCUUGAUUAUAUAUGUAUACACUUAUGACUGAGCAGGGUUAAUUAUUUUUGUUUCGAUUCAUCAUCUUGUUGGUUGGCAUGCACUUUGAAAUAGGUCUCUCGUCUCUCUGCCUGCGGCUGCGGGCGCAAAAGUUACAUUAUUAGUCAGCAUGCUUAAAGCAUUAAAUCUUUGUAGAACGUGGGUUCUGACAGUAACAAGAAAUGAGUGUUAGUGCUGCUGAGACCACUCCUGUUGCCCCGUGCCCACGAUUAAUGCUAGCUAUAUAUUAGGCCCCAUCGUUCAUUUACUACUUCUACUUGUGUAUGCCCGGCUUCCCAUUCAUGUUUGCCGGAAUUAAUUCAUCUCGUACAUAUACCCAGACCAGACCCAGUGCAUAAAUAUGCAUAUUGCUGAUAUUUGCUGAAAUCCAUGUGUCAUGUGUGUUGGCCCAUCUCUGAAAUUUGUUCAUCUCCAAUAAAUAUAAUGGGUGAUUCAAAGUUGGUCUUAAAUCUUGAUGAUCACUUUAAUUUAAUCAAAUGAGAAAAACUUUUCUUUUUCAUUUACUAUAGCCAAAUGGGUUCUGGUCAUUAUCGAUCUGUUAGGUUUUUUAUUGGAGUUCCUGUUCUAAAUGAAUGAAAUAUCUAUGAAUAUGACGCACACUAAACGUGGGGGGGGGGGNNNNNNNNNNNNNNNNNNNNNNNNNNNNNNNNNNNNNNNNNNNNNNNNNNNNNNNNNNNNNNNNNNNNNNNNNNNNNNNNNNNNNNNNNNNNNNNNNNNNNNNNNNNNNNNNNNNNNNNNNNNNNNNNNNNNNNNNNNNNNNNNNNNNNNNNNNNNNNNNNNNNNNNNNNNNNNNNNNNNNNNNNNNNNNNNNNNNNNNNNNNNNNNNNNNNNNNNNNNNNNNNNNNNNNNNNNNNNNNNNNNNNNNNNNNNNNNNNNNNNNNNNNNNNNNNNNNNNNNNNNNNNNNNNNNNNNNNNNNNNNNNNNNNNNNNNNNNNNNNNNNNNNNNNNNNNNNNNNNNNNNNNNNNNNNNNNNNNNNNNNNNNNNNNNNNNNGGGGGGGGGCACUUAAUUUAUAUAUAUAUAUAUAUCGGAUUAAUUAUGGUUAUGGAGUGGGGUAACAUGGUACAGUAUGAACAACCUACAAUCAACAUGAAGAUUGAGGAAUUUUUUUUUUUUUUUUUUUAACCAUCCUGUGGAGAACUUUAUAAAAUAAAUCAUCUUUGGUGAAUGACCCAUCAGAUCAGUUUUAUGGUCAUUGAAAAGCAAUUUUGAUUUUCAUCUUCAAAGUUGCAAUUUCGUAGAAUAUCAACUAACUAGCUAGACAGACACAAACCUAAAAAUUCAGUGCACCAACCGAGGACCUUUAUUUUCUUUUUCUAAAAAUGCUUUUUCAAGUUCAAAUUGAUGCUGGUGGUGGCACCACCACCACACCAAUAACAAGAUCAUACAUGUAUAUGCUCUGGCCUCUUCAGCCUUCACCACCUCAUAAAUACAAAUUGAAAGCUCAAGGGUUUUUUUACCUCAGUGAGCUUUUUUCAUUGUCUCCAACUUUAAAUUUAUUAUGUCCACCUCCUUUUUGUUGAUAAGUUGUUAGCAUAUUCAAUGACCCCCCCGCAGCAUCUUCCAGGCUCCCAUCUGUCAACUCUCUCUCUUUCUCUCAUUAAACUUAAAACUAUAUGUGUGCGUGUGUGUGUGUGUGUAUAUAUAUAUAGAAUCUCAGAGGAAACGACUCCCUCAGUUCCUCAUUCCCAUUACACAUACAUAAUAUUUCACCUUCUGUUCCCUCCUCUCUUUCUUCUUCUGUGUCUAUCGAUCUUGUCGAGGUAUUUUCUUUCUUCAUCUCAUAUCUCUAUAUUUUUGUUUUUUCAAUAUUCCACAAAGCAUACGAGAUAUUGGUGCGGUUCAAUCUGAGAGCAGUGCUCAAAGACUAAGAAGAGCCCUGUUAUUUGAUUGAGCCGUGCCAAUAUCACGUCACGUGCAAUCAAUUCCUUCAGUAUUUGGAUGAUUCUUUAUCCCUCAAAGUGUUUCAUUCAUGUUUCCUGAUUUUUCUUUUCAUGUAAUGAUAUAUUACAUUUUAACUUUUGAUCAGCUCUCCUGUUCCGAGGGUAAGGUCGUUAUAUAUAUUCUGUGUUUUCAGCUAUACACGUAGAAAUAUUUAAAUUCAAGAUUCUAAUAUUUGUUAAAGUUUGAAAAAACUAUCAAAUCAUGCGGUUUAAUAAUGUAACGACAAUGAAAGGUAUUAAUAGUGUAAUAAAAUUAAUAAUAUAAUGACAUUAUAUUAUCAAAUUAUAGAUUUAAUAGUUUUCUUGAAUUUUAAUAAAUUUCAAGAUCGUGGAAUACAUAUGAAUAUAUAUAUGUUGAGUUCCUGAGAUGCAUAUUAUUGAUUAUUUUACGUGUUUCUCAGGACAACUUGUUAAAAAAUCUUGUUAAUUAUGUAUGAGCUUGACUUCCUUUUCAUACUGCAAGCAGCCGCAAUCAAGUAGCUAUCUUUGUAAAUUUGGCAAAUGAAACGAAAUCUAGCUGCUUGGGGUUGUGUCGAUGAAAAAUAUUUUCUGUUCUGCUGUAGUAGGUAAGGAUGGAUUUAGGAAAGAGAAAACUUAAUGAUUCGCAUUACUUUUAUUAAUUACUUUCUUCUACGUAAAAGGUACUCAACUUUUUGACAAGGUGGUAUCAGGUAGGUGACAACUGACAAGACAAGAAUCCAUAUUCUUCCUGGUCGCAUUCGUUUUUUUUAUUAUUAUUUUUUUUUCCCAAACACUUUCCACUAGCAUUAUUGUUCUAAUUUAUUGUAAAAUAUUAUUAGAACAUUCAGAGAAUCGACCAGUUAAUAAUGCAAUCUUUUCAUAUUCUUUAACUGUGUAUAUAUAUAGAUAGAUAUAUUAGGUUAACUGUGUACAUGUAGAAACAGACCAGCUCUCAUGCGAUGAAGAACUAUGCAUGAGUCCUAGUAGUAUAAUUUAAUGGUAAAUACUAGUUGUAUUAGUUGUACAGUAUUGAAAAAAAAAAGAGAAAUAAGCUCUUUCUUUUUUGUUUUUAUGAUAAUUUUAAAAAUUAAGCAGGACUCUUUCCUGUUUAUGUACAUACAUAAUAGAAAACGAUUAUCAUUUGGACUAAGCAGUUGUGAGAUUUCUUCAAUGUUAAAGGACAAAUCCUACCGUGAAAGCAAGUAAAGGAGUUUAUUUUCAACAAAGUUUAUUCUGAAUGAUUUUAACGACCAAAAGCAGAAAGGUGUAAAUUUCAAACCAAGUAAUUUGCCAUGUCUUUAGCCUCAAUUGUCGGUAAAGAGUUAAGACACAGAAUUACGGGGAAGUAACUAAAUAAUUGUAAUUCCAUUGUGCAUGAUCUGUCGUUAUGACCCAUCUGAGGACUGGAGAUCAAAUCAGUAGCUCUUCAAAUUGAAGCUUGUGUAAGAAGUAAAGUGUCUAUCCAAAGAGGGCAACAAAGACCAAGAAGAGUGCUUAGGAAAGAUAAUAUUGCAAUAUUUAUUAAUAUUUAUGAAGCAAGAUGCAUGAACCUCCAACAGCCUUAUACAAGCUUUUAGCUGCAACAAAUUAUUGUUCCAAGUCAUGGCGGAGAACUUAUAAUAGUGCCCUCAAAACCAUUUAAAGAAUGGGCAAACUAUUUAAAGAAUGGGUUUGUGUUGCACUCUAUUUUCAUUCUUUCUUACUGCCACUAGUAUUACCUUCUCUAACAAAAUGGAGGAUCCUAUUGGCACAUUCUAUCUAUUUCCUCCCUUAUACUAGCCAGUUUUAUGUUAUGGUAUUACAUACACUCUUCAGACCCACAAAGGCAUGGGAUGGAAAAAGGAAAAACUAUGCAUAAGUCUUCUUCCUCAAGGAUGUUUUUCCUGAGUAGGGAAAAAAAAAAGCAGCCAGCUGCCUUUCAGAAACUUGCACGCCAUAGAGUAUCCUCACCUUCACCACAGAGCUCAUGAACUUCCUUAAUCCUUUCAACAGACUUGCAAAUGCCACUGCAUCUCCAAUCAAAUGUUGCAACACAUGUCUUCCCUAGCUGAGCCUUCCACUCACAGUCUGCAUAAACACAUUAAAUCAAUUGUAUUAUUAGUGACAAGACUAGAGCUAUGAAUGGAAAUUUGAAAAACACUAAGAAAACCAAGAAGAUCACAUGCUACAGGUGAAGUAAAAUGUUCAACAACGCAUUGAAACAGCUCAUUAUAGCAGUAGCAUAUAUUUGGAUUUUACCAGGUGGGGUACCACAACAAAGCCUUCUAUCAUCCACAUGCUCCACAUCUAAACCAAUAAACCAAGAUCCCAGAGAAACAUCUUCAUUUGCAUAUUUGUGUAGUAGAUGCCUGAGAUAAUUAAAAAUACUUACCAUAACAAGAGGUAAAUCACCAACACUUUUUUUGCUUUGAAAAGUAAAAGUCAUAUGUAGACAUUAGAAAAAACUAAUUUUGCCAUUUUCAUGUCGGUCCAAGCUCUUAAAUUUGAAUUUAGAACUUGUGGAACCGGCACAAAAACCUCUUGGUUCCGCUUUCUAAUUCAGAAGCAGGAUACACAACUCAAGUAUGUGUAAUCUACGUAUUGGCUCAUCCAAUGACAAUGAGACUUGAAGCUUCUUUCAAUAUAAAGUCUGGAGAGAAGUGGUAACUUACUGGUUGAUUGAUAUGUAUGUAGCCAAGUCUUUUGAAAGAGCAUAUAGUUGCCCUGUAGCAUGACGGAAGUACUUGUUUCCAAUCUCACCAAAUUUCCAGUACUCUGGUUCAUAGUAUUUUACUCCUCUGCUCCACAGAAAAGAAACCCAAGAAAGCAAAUUUUUCCCAAAUCUCACAAUUAGCCUAGUAAAUAUAGCAAACAUAGGAAUUAUUGCUCACUUUCUAGCAAGGACAGGCCCAGACUUCAUGCAACCAACGUAAACCCGAGGUUUUGUCCGAUGUGCAGCCAGAGUCAUUCCAAGUGUUGCUGUGGGGAAUUAAGAGCCAAAAACUCAAUGAGAUACGGAAGAGGCCAUCUUGUUAGUUAAUCAAAGAGUAACUUUCACUGAGAUAAUAAACCUAAAUACGUCUAGAUUUCAAUUCAUCACCAAUUUUUUUUACCUAUGAAUUUUAACAUAAAAUAAACCUUUUUACAUGUUUCCACAUCACCUCUCUUGUGACCUCUAGAACAAUUAUAAACAUCAUUCAUCUAAACGUGAAUGGCUGCCCUUGUAAAGACCAGAAAGUGUAAUCACUAUUAAGUAAUUCACAGGUUGUGGUCGCCAAAUUUAGAUUUUUUUCAGUUUCAUUCUUAAUGAGAAAUCAAGUUAUAAGCAAAAGAGUAAUAAAACUACAAAAUACAGUGCAAGACAAGGUAGAACGUUUCCUUGCCUAAAUUUACAUGAACAUCGUCAUCAACUUUGAUAUAAAAUUCUGCAUCCCACAUGGAAACAGCAGUGGCAAAAUAAGUUUUUGUCUUGGCUGACAAUUCCAAGUAGCCCUCUAUAUGUUCCUGCAUGUAUGAUACCAACAAACACAGAAGAAGAUUUAUCAGACUUUUUGAAGUAUAAUUUAAAAUUACCAGGAGUGUGAACACAAACACUCACAAUAACAUUUAAGGAACAAGAAAGAAACAUCACCAGCCUCAAGAAGUCUCCAUGCAUCUUUUCCUCUGCAUCAAUGGCUUUAUCAAGAAUUCCACCUGACGUUGCGCUAGUGAAAAAUUCCAUUUAAUUAAUGAACAAUUGGUACCUUCAAAUUCUACAGUUAACUAAAUUAUUAACGACAAUUACGAUAUUCUCUCCAUAAAAUUAUUCAAGAAACUUUGCAGAAAAUAUAAAUUAGAUUCUUGCAGCAAAUUUUCAUUCCUACUGAAAGAUCAACCAUUGGCUAACCAACUACAAUACGAAUGAAGGGCAUUACUUGAGUAGCACAACUUAACCAUUUGUAACAAGUUGUAUAAGACUUUUCAACAAGUAGGGCUAACUGAAGACUAAAUUCUAAACCCAUCUUUAGAAGGCCAAAAGAACAACAUUAACUAGAAUUGUCAAUUUCUUCAAUGCUAACACUCAAGAGUUGAUUCAUAAUUAUUGAAGCAAAAAAUACAGCAUCUUAGCAAAAUAUUCCUAGGAAAUCAUAUUAUUGAACCCCUGAUUGAUGACAGAUAAUAAGGACCGCAAGAGGUCCUUCAAAUCUCACCUGUGACCUAUGACAAAACGUAUGAUGAUGCCUUUCGCUUCCUCCAGCAUUUUUCUCUUCUCACCUGGUCACAUUUUUGCAGUAAACCCAUUUGUCACACAUUAGAUAGAGAAUGCACCAUUAAACAAAUAUGUAACUAAUUUCUGCACCUUGAGGCAUCCAAGUUGCGCGAACUGAAUCUCUUCGUUUUCGGCUACUAAAAGCAGUAUUUAUUCCUAUAACCAUAAAGUAUUUUCUUUUCAACAUUGAUCCAGAGAUGUUAGAGGUUCCUUUUACCGGAUGGCUGAGUGACACAGAAUCUCGUUCAGCUCGAACAGCUGUUAUUUUUGUUUUCAAACCAUCAAGCCUUUUGUCCUGUGACCUGCAUUCCAUUUGGAGUUAAUAAUUUUCCUUUAGGUCACUCAAAAGACAAUAGUAUCUCUUAUGGAUAAAUCAAGUUUAAACAAGUAUUAUCACAGCUUACUGAAUUGCUUGCUCAACCAUAGCAAGUUUCUCUGUAUUGUUGUUGGAUUCAUGCUUUACAGCCUUCUGAUAAAGGAAAAAGAGUGAGAAAAGAUAUGGCAAAUGUCAACAGCCAAUUGAAUAAGUAGUUUGUUAAAGAUACCUUUCAAAAAAGCUAGUCAAAGAUAAAAAUAACAAGAAAAAUGAAGUCUUGAGUUCAGAAGACGGAAUGAUGGCAGGACAGCAAUUGAUAUUGUGGUUUUCAUUGAUCAGACUACUAUACAUUCAUUAAAAAAAUAAAAAAUAAAAAAAAUAAAGAUUCAGCUUCCUUUCAGUGAUGCACUCAAAAGGGAAAACAGAGAUUGCUAAAUGGUUUCACAAUAUAAAACCCAGAGAUGCCUUCACGAUCACUAACUUUCACUUAAAUAUGUUUUUCAUUAUGGAAAACCCAUGGAACAGGAAGCCAAGAAUAAAAAGCAUAUAUUUCCUUCACAAUAUUUGCUCUGACAGAUCAGAAAACAACAUUUUUGAGAAACUACCUUCCUGUUGACAAUUACCAGCAGUCAAGAGUAAGAAAGUAUAAUAUUGCUUGUGAUUUGUAAUGAAGCCAAACUCCAUUGACCAUUAAAAGUAUUUCAUCCAUGAAGUUGAUGCUAGAUAAACCUCAAGUACCAAUUCAGACUACAUAUCACAUCCUCAAAGCUUAUACAUUUACAAUAAGAUGCAAAAAGUAGUUUGGAAAGUACACUCACAAGUUCUGGAUUUUCGAUUUCCUCAGUUUUUGAUAUCCUUGCAACACCUUUAGAUUCAGGCAUCAUCCACAUCCUGACACAACAUUUCUUGAUUUACACAGCAUGCACUAUACUGAAGAACAAGCCACUUUGACAAGUAACUAGAACAUAUCCCGCCCCAUAGCAACCAAUGUUAAAAAAAAAAAGAAAAAAAGGUGAAGCUUAAAAAUCAUUGAAUAACAAAUGUUUAUGAAAACUGACAUAAGAAUACGUAGCAUAACAUUUUUAAUACGAUCUGAAAGCAAUGGAAAAGAAACAUACAUAAAGGCUAAAGCAACGAUGCUGAAGCUUCUUCAGUUAGUGCGAUAAUAAUACUAAUACAACAGAAAGAUAUGCAUGUUUAUAUUAACUGCCUAUAUUCAUCAAACUGGAAAUGCUAAAUACAUCUCCACUCAAUUUUGGAGUCUUCAUGGCCAACGCAUUAUUUAUCUGCCAAAGGGAUGUAUGCGUGGUCACUUGCGGUAACCACAAUCCAAUAAACACAAUAGACCACAUAAUUGAAGAGAGAAUGAAGUAAAGAACAGAAAUUCAUAGCUGUAAAUAGUAAAGGGCCGCUAAUCAAACAUUUUCUUUCCAAUUCUUCUUACCAAACCCAUGUUGCACAGAUACCCACCAGGGCAAAAUGCAUACUUUAGUCAAAGAAACCACGGAAGUAACCCAAACAUGAAAAUAAAAAAUCAAAGUAAACAAAAAAAAAAUUACCUGUUAGUGAAAGACAUUCCUGCACAGAAGCUGCAAGCACAAAGAAAAAGAGCCCAUUUCCUCGGAAUAAGAUUCCUUGAAGCAAACUCUCCCCCUGUACUCUUGAAAGACAUUUUCCCCCCCAAAUCUUCUCUAGUCCCUCACCUAACUAUCUCCCUACAAAAUGAAAAUGGAAACAAGUAGUUUAAAGAUUUAAGCUUGAUUGGCUGCAAAAGCAAAGAAAUAGGUUCUCAGGAUCAGAUGGAAAGAUUAACAAUCUCAGUGUUAGUUAAUUCCGAACACACACUCUUGCUCCAGAGAGAGCCAAGAGAGGUGCCUUAGUCAACCGGACCCACUUAACUGCCUAUAAAUAACUCAAUAUAAAACAAAGGAUGGAAUAAUAACAUUUGACGCCUGAACUUUUACAAUUAUUCAAAUAAGAACAUAUUUGCUCCUUCUAUCAAAUAGGUCCAUAGGAAAACAAUUAAUUAUCCCAAGUGAAAUAACUGAAGCAUGCUUUGGAGUCGAGUUAUUAUAUGUUCCGUUAUUCCCUUGGUAACUUGAAUUCAAUAAUUUAAGGGUAGUCCAUUUAUUCCAACUAAUAGAGUAGAAUUUUUAUUAAAAAAAUUUAGUUUCUUUUUUUUUUUAAUUGUGGAAGAGAGUUUUUGUUAAAGAUUGUAAAAUUAUUUUAAUAGGUAAGUUUCUUUGUUUAAAUUAUGAUAUGAAAAUAAUGAAAUAAGUUGUUAAAUAAGAAAAGAGUAUUUUAAUAUUUUAAAUAUAAUUUCGUCAAUCUUUAUUUUUAAAAGACUAAAUUUUAAAUUUUUGAAUUUUUACUAAUAGAGAUAAAAUAACUUAUUUAAUUUUUAAAAGUUUUACUAUAAAAACAAUCAAAUAAUAAUUAAAUAUUAAUAAAAAAAAUUUAUAAAAUUAAAUAAAUACUUAUUAGAUAAAUUAUACUAAAUAGUCACUAAGGAUUAGAUUAAGGGGCUGUUUGAUAUAAAUGAAAAAGAUUAUGCAAAGUAUUAUUAAAAUAGAAAAAUCAUAGGGGGCCUAAAUAUUACACACCCCAUGGCCCUCUCAACGUUAUUUAGUGUAACCGUAAUCAAGUUUACGUUAGAACGCUAGCUAACCACAAAUUAACACCAACCGUUGUAAAUUUAAGUUGUAAUGUCAAAUAUAUUUUGGUUUUUAGUUCAGAUCAGAGUUUUGUGCAGAGUUUAUAACCCUCUAAUUUAAAACUGCAGAUAAUUAAGAGUUACUAAUGGAAAUUAUGUUACCUUAAAAAACUUUUAUGGAUCCUAUUUAUUGCAGCUUUAGAUGUAUUAUUUAUGGUAGUAAAUGAAUAUUAAUUUAGUGACUCGAAAAGCUCUUCUCCAUUAGCAAAGAGGAAAAAGACAACUACAUCUUCAUAGUUUGAGAAAAUGAAUAUGUCGGUCUCAAAUUUUUUAAUAAGAAAUACUAAAAUCUUUUGUUGACUAUAAUAUCCUUGCCUGUAUUAAUUAAAAAAAUUGACUCUAAUAUUUUAUAAUAAAUUUUAUUAAUUGUACAAUCUAUUUAAACCAAAGAUUUAUUUAAAAUUUUAUAAUAAAUACAAAUAUAUUAUUAAAAUAAAUAUAAUAAUUCACAUUUUAAAUUUUAUUUAUAUAUUAAAAACUAUUCUACUAAUAUUAUUAGUAUAUUAGAUAAAUUAAACUAUGUAAAUUAUUAGUAUAUUAGAUAAAUUAAACUAUGUACAUUAUAUUUACAUUUAUUAAAAAAAUUUAAAGUCAAACUUUUAGUUACAAUCUAUUAAGAGUAUUAUAGUCAAAAUGAGGUCUUAAUAUCCCUAAUUAAAAACUUAAGGGUCUACAAUACUAUUCUGCAAACUUUUGGAGUGUAGGUGUCGUUAAUAAAAACUAAAAGCAAUUUAUUUUAGUCAAUUUUAACAAUAAAAUAUAGGUUACCCUGUUAAACAGAUUUAUAUGUGUAUAAUAUCUAAACCGCAAUACCCAAAAUUAUAUGGUUAUUUUUAUUGUUAUUUUAUUUUAUUCCACUUCCAUCCCAUUUUAGGCUUUCGUUUCAAUUUUAAAUAAGCUAGUUAGGUUUAUUUGUGAAGCGGGGCAAUUACAGGCAAAAGUGUAGCCAUAUUUGCAAAGUGAUUAAUAGUUCAUUUACUAAAAGAAAAUUGAAAUAGAUUAUGAUCGGAAUGAGUUAGAAUCAGAAUGUAUUUAAAUAGAAAUGAGAAAUGAAAAUUAGAAUAAGUUGUUUACUUAAACUAUAAUAAUCAAAAUAAAAAUGAAGUUCAUUUCCAUUGACACGUUUACUUUAUUCUUAAAUUAGAAUUGAUUGUUUCAAAUUAUUAAAAUAUCUUUUGUUAAUUGUUAUCCUUAAUAUUAUUUGUAUCUAUUAUAAUAUUAACAAUAAUAAGAAUAAAAAUAAUACUAAAACUAAAAAUAAUAAUAAUAUAAACAAUAAUAAUAGACAACAGUAAUAAUUAAAAUAAUAAAGUAAAUAAAAUUUUAUAAUAAUGAUUAUUAUAACAACAAAAUGAAGGAGGAUGAUGAUGAAAAAAAAAUAUUAUUAUUAUUAUAAGGAACUUAUGUGCAAAUAUUAUAAAAUUCAUAGGUAAUUUACAAAAUUUGUAUGGACCAAAAUAAACAGGUGGCAAACUUUUGAAAUAACAAUAAAUCGGCAAUGAUGAGAAGCUUGAAAUUGGCGGUGAAGACAAUCGGCGAGGACAAGCUGUGAAAACUGAAACGGCCAACAUGAGCGGCAUCCACAAACUGAGAUGAAACCGGCAUUAGACGAAGAUGAAACUGGCAACGACUUGCUGCUUCACAGUUGACGGACCGACGAUGACGAUGACGGUGGUUGAUUUUGGCAGCAAUGGUGACGAGAAGUGCUGAUGGUGUUCGGCUCGGUGGAGCUAAAACCAGAGGAGUAUCAUGAAUUAGGGAUAUUUUUUUUAAAAUUUUUUUGGUAUUUAUAUUUUUCUUUUAAAAGAGGGUAUUUCGGGAAUAUUAAAAUGUUAAUAAGUGUAGAAAGUAAUCUCCUAGAAACGAAAGAUUGAUUCUCACCCUCCUUACAAAUUAAUCUCCUAUUCUCUAUUCUCAAAUUCGAGUGGAUCCCAGAUUCUAAUUCCUAUUCUUACCUCCAUUUUAUGAAAUAAACAUCAUUAAUGAUUCCGAUUCCGCAUUUUGAUUCCUCAGUUCGAGAAAUAUACGCACCGUAAUUACAUUGUGGCCUGGUAGUUCAACAGGCAAUAUUUGUGAUAGAUUUAGCAGCAACCGACAAGAUAUUGGAGAACGACACUUCUAACACCAGCAUUGCAUACGUUGCUGCAUUGCUAAUAUGUAAAGAUAAUGUGAUAAAAAAAAAAAUACAGGUAUACAGCAACUGCAACUUAUUGCUGUUUCUGUUUGGCAUUUGAUGGUUUUUACAGAAGGAGCUGGGUGGGUGGUGGUUCUUAAAAAAAUUGGAGGAAGGGAAUGGCUUUGAAAUGUUAAAACUGGAUGUAGCGACAGUGAAUGAAGUGGAAUAGGAAUAAUGUUUCAUUAAAAAAAAAAAAAGGUCACGGUUGUUGGUGUCGGCAAAAGGGGAAAUUGCCAACGAUCUGUGGAGCUGUGGGAUCUUGAACUGGUCGUGUCCAAAAAUCAAAUUAUAGAUAAUACCAGCUAAUGUAAUUGUAAACAAAGAAUCUGUCCAAGGACAAGGAGCAGGACAGUUAUCUUUUUACUACUCAAACUUUAUACUUUAGUGGUGGCCCCUUAUUCAGAUGCAAAAGGGCUUUGGCUACUUUUUGGGAUGGGAAAUUCUGCAGUGUUGCGAUGCCACCUUGAGUUAAUAAGCCAAGAACUGCACAGCCCAUUACCAUUAGCAUUAUGCUAACGAAAUAAAAACAAUUGAACAGUUUAGACUGAGCAAAAUGAUUCCAAUUCUACAUACAAGUUGUAAUUAAAGAAGGUAAGCUUUAAUAGAUAAGAGACAAAUAAUUAAGUGAUUGUCUGACAAAUAUAAUCAUUAACAAUAAUAUAUAUGUAUAUAAUCUGGGUAUGGUGAGAAACUAGUACCUGAUACUAUGAAAGGUCUCCUGUUGCUAGUGGCAUAAAAAACAACCAAACUGAAGAUGCGUGGGACAAGUAAAAUAGUAUUGUAAGGACUAAAACAUAGUAACAAAAGCAAAAGCAGACAAAAGCAGAUGUAGGAAGCCAUACAAAUAAAAACUAAUUGUAAAUAGGUAAUUCAGUUUCAACUUAUACCGGCAACAGCCUACCAGCUUGCAUUACAUUUACGGAUUUACCCAAAACACAAAUCCUUCCAAACUACCAGACAAAAUUUCAGAGACUGUCCCAUUUGCCUUUUUUUCCCCCCUCCUUUUUCUCUUUCAUUCUUUCUGAUAAACAACACCACAAAGGCAGCUCUGACUUGUCUAGGAAUAGAGACUCUAUUUCUAGCUAGUUCUCACCCAAGUGCGUUACAUGAGAUGAGAUCCAAGACAAUAAAAUGAUGAUGGUGAAGAUUUGAUAGUGGUAGAAAAGAGUUGGUGAUGCCACUAAGGCGCUUAACUUAUGGUUUGAUGAAUUAGUGACGGUAAAGGCGUUACUCUAGGAAACCAGUUUUUGUUAAGAUAGCAUUCCUCACUUUGCUGAGAUCUCUUCCUUUGAGUGUCCUUCCAACCCCUUCACAAACAGAAGAGGAAGAAAUUUGGUUCCUAGCAAGCUUCUUAGCUAACCAUUCAUGUGGAGGUACCCUAUUUUCCCCAUCGUCUUCAUCAUCGUCGUCGUCAUAAUAACCAUGAUAGUCCCCAUUUCUAUAAACAAAACCAUUAGUGCUAAUACCAUCACUGUGGCCACCAACCCACGAACCAUUUCUUGAUGAAGAGCCCAACUUUGCAUUUUUGCCGUAAAUUUUUGACCAAUCCGGGAUGUUAACAGGAGCUGAUGAUUGUUGAGCUACCAUGUUUGCUUCAUGUGCUGCUGUUGGAAUAUUGUUGUCUCUUCUGAUCAUUCUUGGAGCAGAAUGAAAGUUCCAUGCAGAAGAAGAACCAGAUGAUAACUCCUUGGAUUUCCUCAUUUGAGGAAUUGAUUCUUCACUCUCAUUUGCAAAACACCAAAUAUCUUCUUCUUCAAAUUCCUCACCACCUUCGCUGUCUUUGCUCACAAUACCAUGCCAAUCUGCCAUCACUAAAAGAAUAAAAAGAGAAAACAAAACAACAUAGCAGAAAAAAGGAAGAUUUUUCUUUUUUUCUUUUUUUUUUGGUAAAGAGAAAAAAAGGAAGAUUUUAGCAACCGUAUGAAGUUACUUAGAAAGAUAUAAAUAGAAGGGCUGAAAAGUUCUUUCCUUCUGCUUUUCCUUUUAUGUUGCUAAUAAGGAAAAAGCAAAGAAAACUGGGAUAAAAAAAAAAAUGUUUCUUGGGAAUCAGAAAAAAAAAAAAAAAAAAAAGGGGUGUAAGGGAGGAGAANNNNNNNNNAAACGGGAAAAAAAAAAAAAAUUUUUUUUUGGAAAAAAAAAAAAAAAAAAAAAAAAAGUGGUGUAAGGGAGGAGAAUAAUAUCAGGAAUCUACCUUGCCUUUGUUCUCAAUAUCCUCCAAAAGAACCAGAGGUAGCUUUUCAAGGAUAAUCUCAAAUCAAUCAAUACUUGGAGAAAAAGUAUAAAAUAAAACCUCAACAACUGAUCAGGACAAAACAAGGGAAACCAUGAAAACUCUUUUGGUAAAUAAGACCCCAAAAAUGACUCAUUUUCAAGGGCAUCAAAUUAUGUAGUCAGCAGCCAGCAGCAACAACAGGCAGGAGAAAAAGACAACAAAUUACAGACUCUAUCCUGAUUCUUGAUGAGCUAAACUAUCUUUUUAAACAUUUAUAUAGCCAAAAAAGGAAAUUAAAAGUUCUGAUCAGAUUCAGAUUCAGAAUCAGAAUCAGAAUCCCAGUUGACUUAAGCUUGCCACGAAAAUUAUAACAUCUAGUACUAGUAGAGUAGAAGGGCUAGCAGCAUUGAGCAAAUUCAGGAACCAACUUUUACCCAUCGGAGCAUAUUAUCUAUAUACCACCUAGAUAUAGUGAUAUAGAUUAAAAAGAGCAGAACCAUCAGUAGUGAGCUGCAGAGGUUUCUUGAAAUGUGGGGAUUUAGUGUUAUGCACAUUGUGCAUUGACAGUAAUCAAUAAUAAUAUUUUAAUAAAAGCACUGACAAGGCUAGCUUUUGUUUUGAUUGGGAUAGGUGGAGGGAAAAUAUUGGCCUGACCGAGGCCAACCUCACUGAUUUCCGUAACCUUAUCCCCAACCCCUACCCCAACUCACAACAACUACAACUCAGCUCUCAGCUCCUCAUUUGGCUUUACCCCUUACCAGUGAAAAAUUUGCUCGUUAUUUUUGUGUUUUAUUAGCAGUAUUAUUGUGUGUAAGUAAUUAUAUAAACCUUUUAUUUAAAGACUACUUAAGAAGAGGAGGAGGACGAGGUGCCUGUGGAGUAAAAGCAAUGACUAAUCGGUUGGAUGGUGAGAUUAUUGCUCAGAAAUUUGCGGUGGCUUCUCUAUUCUUAUUGAAUUUGAAGGUGAAGUGUAUAACUGGGACUAGACUUGUAAUCAAUUGCUUGAAUCUUCUCCAAUGCAUGUGCAGUUAUGGCACAAAGAUUGGAGAUGGAGAGUAAGGAUAGAUGAGUUAAUAAUAAGGGUCUCCGAAAUGUAACUAAGAUCCAUACAAAAUUCAUCCAAUGACCUACUUGACUCCAUUAUUUUGUUAUUUAUUUUUGCGUUAAUUUACCAGAUUAUAAGUCAUGACCCAAAUCCUAAUAAUAAUUAUAAACCAGAAAGAGCACUAAUUAAUAACAAAUAAAGGGAAAAAAAAAAAGAGAAAAAGAAAACAAUGGAUGGGACAAGAGAAUGGAGAAGUGGCCAGUAAAAUAAUGCAUUUCGGAGGCAAUUGUAUGUCAGCGGCGUGAGAGGUCUCCUCAACUACAAUUCAGAGGCCAGAGGGGUCGGUACUCUGUUGGAAUAUGAAUGACCCUAGAGAGAGUAGCUUGUGGGUCAGCUUCUUUUCUGGAUUCAUGCUGGGAGUUAACUUCGAUCACAUCUUAAACUAGGGUAGUAUAUCUGCCCUUUGAGAACCAGCUUGCUCCACCAGAAGGCUAUCGCUAAUUCCCAAAAUUUUUGCUACAUAAAAAUGACAGAGAAACAAAAUUAUGGUAAAACUAUGACAAAAAAAAAUUGUCUUUUAAUAAAUUUAUCCCAUCACCACAGCUGCCAAAUGAAAUCAUUAAGAAUCAUACGUAAGUAGAUACAUUACAUGAUUGUAAAGAUAAGACUUUGGGAGCAUUGACAUUCCAAAAACGGCAAUUGUACUUUUGUGUUGUGUAAUUGCUGAACAUCUAAACUAACUUUGUCUCAGGCCAAGCUGCUCGGCUUCCCUUCUUCUCCUAAACCGCGAGCUGGCUGCUCUGAGCCUGAGGCCCUGAGCUCUGAGGUGUAGUUUCUUAUCAUAUCAAAUUCUGAAGCAAGAAAGAGGUGGCCAGACUAUGACCGAUUAAUACCCUCAUAAGUUAGUGGCAACUGGCAUAAUUAAACAUAUCGGACAAACCGAUAUCCAUUAAAGCUACUGCACUGCAUUGACGCCAGUUCCAAGGACAGGAUCAAAAUAAUUGCAUUGCUUUCAAUUGAAAGUGCCUAGUCGAUUGUUUCAUAGUAAUGCUAUGAAUAACAGCUAGCCCCUGUAGAAACAUUGAGAGUGGAACAGCUGUUUGGCUUUGCAGCCGACUAGGAGACUGGCACAAACCCCUAGUUAAUUAAUUAUAUUAUCAUUUCUUGAAACGUAGCUAUGCCAUUGCCUAACUUCAUCAUUAUUUAUUUAUUUAUUUAAAAAAAAAAAAAACUAAACUAAACUCACAACCUGGCUGUUAGGAUUAGGGAUGGCAAAAGUCCCAACAGACGGGUACUUUUGGGGAUUUUUCCUAUUCGGGGAGGAUAUGGGGAUAAUUUCAUACUUAAUUUUUUAUUCGGGGAGGGAACGGGGAAAUAUUUUUACCCAAUUUCUUAUUCGGGGAGGGGAAGGGGAUGAGGUGGAAUCCCCAUCCCCUACCCAUUUCCCCAUUUUAAUUUUUUAAAAUUACUAGUAAAUAAAAAAUAAAAUUUAAAUUAUAAAAUUAUAAAUAUUGGUAAAAAUAAAAAAAAUCAAAAUAUUUAUAUUAUUAAACUUUUAAGCCUAAUUAACUAAUUAAAGUCCUAAAUUUUUAUUUAGGACAUUAAAAAAACCGAGUAGAUUCUAAUAGCCAAACUUUUUUUUAAUUUUAAUAUUCUUUAAAUAUUUUAAACUUAAAUCUAUUUUUUAUUUAUUUAUAGAUGUUAUAAUUGCCCACAACGAAUCACAAUUUUAAUAUCUAAUCUAAUAUUUGUUUUUGAUUUGCUCCGAUUUAACUAUUGUGUUGUAAAGGGAAUAGUCCACAUUUAUAAAGUGUCCACGCCACCAUUGAAAAAGUUAAUUUUGAAUCUAAAUUCGAUUUUAUUUGUAACAAUUUUGUAUUAAACUAUUAAUUUGUUCAUGAUAGUUUGUAAAAGAAGUUUGUAUCCCUUGCAUGUUGCGUUACUUACUAAUUUAAUGUAUGUGACUUUUGUAAUAGAUAUUAAUGUAAGAUAUAUUUCGAACUUUACUUUUAUUUGAUUUUUUUAUUUUAAUAUGAUUAACUCAAAAUUAAAAAAAAAAUGUAUUAGUUAUUCGGGGAUCGGGGACCCUCGGGGAUCCCCUGUUAUUAUUCAGAGAGGGGAUGAGGAUUCCCUCAAGUAAUUCUGACGGGGACGGGGAGGGGACGGGGACAUACGCAAAAUAUCGAGGAUGGGUACAGGGAGAUCGGUCCCCUCCCCUCCCCUCCCCAUUGCCAUCCCUAGUUAGGAUUCGAGCCCAGGCCUCAACGCCACAAUCCAAGAGUUCUUACCGCUAAACAUUAAACUACCAAAACUUUGGCAUUUGAAGCCACCACUUUUGUUAUUUAAACCAAGAAAGUUUUGUAGUGCUAACAAUCGCGAGAAAAGGGACUUAAAUGCGCAAACAAUUGAUUUUCCGCAUAUGGCACAUUAUAUUGUAUUGUGAUUAAUUGUAUUGUAUCAUGGUCUAUUAAAUUAUAAUAUAAUAUUAUUUUUAAUGCAAUAUAAACUAUAGUAUACGUGAUAAUAUAUAUUUUUUAUUAUAUAUAUUAUUAUUAAUUUUAAAUUAGCAGUAUAAAAAUAAUAGUGUUCAAAUCUAUUAAUACUUAAGUAUUUAUUAUUAGUUAUUUAAAUUACUUAAAAGCAAUUAACUUGCAUGUAUUAAUUAUUGUAAUAUAAUUAAAUAAUGUACUACUAUAUUAUACUAUGUUUUUAUAUAUUGUUUAAGUAAUUAUUAGUAGUUACAUUAAAUUGUUAAAUAAUAAUCAAUUUUAUAUAUUAAUUAUUGUAAUGUAAUUAAAUGUUGUAAUAUUAUAUUAUAUUUUUAUUUUAAUAUAUUAUUGAAGCAUUUAUUAUUAGUUAUAUUAAAUUGUUAAAUAAUGAUCAAUUUUUAUACAUAAAUUACUAUUAUAUAUUUAAAUAAUGUAAUAUUAUGUUAUUUUUUAUUUAUAUCUAUUAUUUAAGUAUUUAUUAUUAGUAUUAUUAACUUAUAAAUAAUAAUCAAUUUUUAUAAAUUAAUUGUUAUAAUAUAAUUAAGUAAUACAUUAUUUUGUUAUAUAUUUAAUACAAUAAAAAUAAAAAUAUAAUACAAUGUUAUUGGAUAAAUUUAUUAAUUUAUAUUAAUAAUUAUAAUUUAAAAAAAAUACAAAUUAAUAUUAUAUAAAAUUAAAUUUUAUAUUUAUUUACCUGCUGUACGGCCAAGGCGGAUGUACGGUACAGCAGAUUAUAUAAAAUUAAAUUUUAUAUUUAUUUAUUAUCAUAAUAAAAAUUUUUUUAAAAAAACUAAUGUUGCUAUAGCCGCAUUAAUUAAAUCCGAUUCCCAAUCAGAUUUAUAGCCUGUUUGGGAGUGUGGUGAGGUGGCAACCCAACUAUUAAGGUGUUUGGUAACACUUGUAGUUGAGCUUUAACAGCUUAGCAAAAUUUUUUUCCUAACUUCAAUUUUACGGCUGUAGCUUUUACUCCACAACAGCUGCAGCUUAAAAGCUACAGCAUCUCACUCCCAAACACCCUAUAUAACUAAUUGCUGCAGUAAACAUGAGGUUGUAUUGCAUUAUAUAAUGCGGGGUGCUAAAGCCAAACGCCCCAAGAGGAUUAUAAUUAUUACCUAAAAGAAACCAUAUCAACCAUCCAAAAACGAAUCCACUCGAUACAUAUGCACACCCACACACACACACAUAACCACACUCUCAAAUCUCAACUCCAAUAUGUCCAUGCCUCUCCGCCGUGGUAACAGUACGAGAUAGUGGGAUAUCUCGUCCCAAAUUGUCUUCCACUUGCGCUGCCUUGGUGGCUUGGUCGCUGGCUAGUCACAUUUCUAUCGUUUUUCACCAAUGAUUACGAUUGUCACCAUAAUGCCAUCCAAAGCUAUAAAGCAAACUUGGUGGUCAUUAAUUAAUGCAAGUAAAGACUUUCCCUGCGUUGCGCGAUGUGCCUUUCAGUUGCCAUUGAUGACAAAUAGUAACUUCACAUCCCCUCAUACCCAUCAAUUUAAUUGAAUGAGUAAGUUAUUUAGGAGAACUUUUCCGUCCUAAUGAUUUUAUCAGCUCGAAUCUAAAUUAAUUUAGACCCGUAAUCUUUGGAUACUAAAUAAUUUAAUAGAUCAAAAUAGUCGUCUUCUACCCAUUCAUUCUUCGAUUUGAGGAACUUCAAAAGAACAUCCCAAUUCUCUAUUUUGCCAUUUCUUUUACUACCGAUACGUUUUCUUAUUCUUCUUCAUAGGCAUGAUGUACAGCGAUUAAGAAAUAAUAAAUUAUAAAGCUGGCCUAAUGUUUUAUGCUACAUGAAAAUUGAUGAACCAUCAUUAAGCUCUACAGUGCCUCGGGGUGAACUUAUAUAAUUCCAACUUGGGUGAACUAUAUGCAGUUAAUAUUCAAACAAGAUAUCCCACUGAACCUGUACAAACUGUGUGAUGGGAAUGAGCUGCAUCGCGUUCUCUCCACCCGAUCAAUAUCUUAUUUCACUUGCGUGCUGCACGGUAAAGCUCCAUAUAGUCAAGAGCAGGGCGAUUCCAAGACCAGUCUUGCUCCAUCACUGUCUUGCAUAAUGAGUUCAACCACUCUCGACCAUCAUAAUAAGCAGAAAUUGCCCUGAAAAAUCAAUUUCCAAAUGAAUGCUAUACAAAGGAACACAAUACUAAUGGAAAUACCAGCAAAUUUAAAAUGCUUGCUCUAGACAAACCUGAAACUGUCAUAAGUCAUACUGGAUUGCUUUUGUUUAAAAGGGAUCAUAAGUGGCUGACCUUCUAGAUCCUCAUAAAUAUAUAAUCUACUUGUAGUAUGGAAUGAAGAAACAUGGAUGCUGAAAUCAACUACAUGACUACCGCUUAAGAAAAGUAGAUUUGCCGACUUACUUGAACAGGAAAUAGAUUCACUCACCUAUUAAGAGCAUAAUCGACUCCAGCAAUAUCAGCUCCAUCAAAACUAAAUCCAUUUGGUUCAAGAUCUAGGGCUUGUGCUCUCUCUUUAUCAUGGUCAACAUCAAAUACAGUGUCAUAAAGUCCUACAGGAGAAAUAAAUUGGAAAUGUUUUGUCAAAUACAUUAUCUUUGCCAAAUAGUAAGAGGGGAAGUUCACUGCAAUCCACAAUAACUAUUGGCCACACAAUCUGAAGGAGAACUAUUUUAAAAAAAAAAAAAAAGGGAAAAGAAGUUGGAAAUUGAAAAACUCUUCCAAUUAAAUGAGCCAAAAAUGCAGGUGUUCUGCAUGACAUGCAGAUGCUUUCCUUCUCCAGCAUUUGAAACCCCCAAAAGAAAACUAAAAAGAAGAGAAUGAUCUGAAUACACAUAGGCAUGCAAGUUUAUCACGGCUAUAAUAAAUGAUUUUUCACAUAUUAAAAUGUUGAAACAGUUAAGAGAGAAUAGACCGUAGUCAGGUGCACACCUCCAGUUUUCCGAACCACUGGUAUUGAACCAUAUCUCAUAGCCACAAGUUGUGUCAGUCCACAUGGCUCAAAGAUUGAAGGAACUAGAAUGAAAUCGGCCCCAGCAUAAAUCUAUAAUAAAAUCUAAAUAAGUAAAUCCGCAACCAUAUUGAAGAUGUAAGAGUUUAAAAUAAACAGACUGAAGAUUUGAUGUUCCACAAGAGCAUACCAGGUGGGAAAGUGGCUCAUCAUAAGUCAAACAAAGACGAGCGCGGUCCGCAUGAGAAGAAUGCAACUCAUUAGCUAAAUUCACAAAAUCAUUCUGGAUUCGGGGAUCCGGAGCUGAACCAAGCAACACAACCUGGCAUCACAUAUUCUGUCAGAAUAAAUGCGAAAAUGCUAAACAAGCUACGGCAACAACUGUGUCAGCACAUGACUUUUGAGUCUGAAACUACACCAUUUUGUCCUUGCAUUCACAUUACUGGAGUUUCUGCUUUCCUCCUUGAUUGAAAUCAUACAUUCUUGAUAUUGGGACACACGCACAUAGAAGAAAAAUAAGUUUUAGUUUAUUAGAUGAAACCCUGAAAGAUGUUGGCAUCAUAAAGAUUCUUCCCCUCAUCAACAUCCACUACUAAAGAGGAAAGUUUAGACUGAUGCAUUGGAUGAAAUAUUCAUAGACUACGGUAUUACACAUGUUAAUACAUGGCCCAAGAAUUAUAAACAAAAAGGAAGCAAAAAGAUAACCUGACCACCGCGAUCUAAUGUUCGCCAAAUUGCAUGCUUGAUGAGAUGGAUUCCUUUCUGAUGUGUUAAGCGAGUAAUGAUUCCUACUAAAGGCAGAUCAGACUUCCUCAGACCAACCUUUUGCUGCAAGGCUUCCUUGGCUGCUCUUUUGCCUUCAACAAGAUUUUCUGAAGUGUAUGAUACCUAGAAUGACAUGCAACAUAUAUUACCAUAACCACUGGCAGAAAUAGUGAUCAAAAGUUACUACCUGUGUUUGCAAUUUAUCUACAAAUGCAAUCUGUACUUUCAUGAGUCUUCUCCUAAAUAUUUAUAGGAAUGAAAGUAUUGGAAAACAAGUAUAAAUAGAAGAAAAAAAAAUGCAAUUGUUUACUAACAGGAAUGAACUUGUCAUUAAAUGGGUCCCACAUAUCCUGGUCAAUGCCAUUUAAUAUGCCAUAGAAUUUGUGGAGAUGAGGAGCAAUAGCAGGAUCUCCAGCAACCUCCUUCGAGUAAGUGUGAGACACCUGCAGAAAUAAAUGCAAAUAAGAUGAUGCCAUAGCUAGGACUAAAAUGAGGAAGUUGCUGACAUAUUAGCUCCUCCGGAGGCUAUAUCACCAGACAUGAAUCCACAAAAAUAAAAAUAACCGCAGGUCGGAGGGAGGGGAGGAGGGGGGCGGAAAAGCAUUUUAGGGUUCGUGCGAUGUGUGUCAACAGAAAGUUCAUGCAGAAAAUUGAACUUUAGAGCAACUUGAGAUCAAUCCAACAAAAAAAGAAAUAAUAAAUAAGUUCAGAACAGAGGAAGAAUGACCCAAACCACAUAAAAAUCUUAAACUCCAUUCGGGACAGUAUCUAAGGACAUUAAAUGAUAUAGGAAAUAGUGUAUGCUCACUGUUGUAGCCUUGUCUGCAUAUGUCAUAGCUUUCCCAAUAUGAUGUGUCCCAAAUUCAAGGUUGUGUAUUGUGAAGACAAUUCGAGCUUUGCUUAGACCAUAAUGUACAUAGUGGUCCUUAAAAAGCCAGGCAACAGGAGCACUAGACCAAUCAUGGCAAUGGAUAAUAUCCUGCCAUUGCAAAGCAUCAGUUAAAGCAGAUGUUUAAAUGUCUACAAUCAUGUGAGACCAUACAUACCCAGCAGGGUAGAGGAAUAGAAUUCUUAAUGCAAUGGAGAUUUUCCGCUGAUAUGCAUGUUCUCAUUACAAGAAAAAGAAUAAAAUGCAUUUAGAUUGGACUGAUAUCAUUCACUUACAGGAUGAAAUCCACCUUGGAGCAGGAAUUCAAGAGCAGCAUGGCAAAAGAAGGCAAACCUCUCUUUAUCAUUGUUGCAGCCAUAUACACAUCCCUUCGAAAAAAAUCUAAAAGAAAAAUGCGCAAUGAGGAUUCCUGAGGAGAACUUUGUUGUAUGGCUAUUAACGAAAACAAAUUGAUCUUGAAAAUAAAAAUAAACAUUGCAGAAUAGGUCCUGAGCUCGAAACCACAAGCAUGUAUCAAAAGAGCCAAGGAGGUCAAACAUGAUCGGUUAAAAUGAGAUUUCAUAUUGUGCAUCAAUGCAUAUACACUAAACUGACUACCACCUGAUCUCACAACCUUGGAUGCCAGAAAACUCUUGGGAUUAUAAAUUUUCAGAUAGGUAACUCCAAGGGGUUUCGAAUCCGAGACCUCAUGGUUGAAUCAGAGGGUCUUCUACCACUCAACCCAACCUUUAGGAUCAUAUACUGGAAAAAAUAUUUUAGCCUCCAAGUUAAUGCUGUCAAUGAUUUGUGGCCACAUAAUAUAUAGGUGUAAUUUUGGGACUUUAUGUACCAUUUGGUAUUAUUUGAAAGGACUUCAUGACUGUAAUUUCCUAUGUAAAAUUCAUCUCAAACAAAUUCAUUCUUAUUAUUCAAUCUCAAUAAAGUUCAGAGCUUCACCCGUGCAAUAUAUUAGCAGCUAAUCAUUUUGGGAAAAGUAAAACAGCCAGCACAGACCUAAUGAGUUGCAGAUUGACUUCGCCAAUCCAGGCUUGUGAUAAUAAACAAAUAAGCUUAUUGCACUGAGUGAAACAACUUAAAAGCACUACUUAAACUAAAUCAAUUAACAUAAAUAUACGAAUAAUCAAUAGACUCUACUUAUAAUCUGGAUGCAUAUAUGCCUACUGCACAAGAAUACAGUAUAAAUAUGGACAGGAAUCACAGUAGGUUUAGAGAAUAAGGAGGCGUCAGGUGUGAAGGAUUACCCAUUUUGAGGCUCCAAAAAGUAGACUGAGAGGCCUUCUACCUUCCCAAACCAAACUUUUAUCUCAGUCCCACCCCAGUGAUAGCUUCUAUUGUACCCUAAGUCCUUCACCUAUUCAGAAUACAUUAAAGUAAUUAAUCACAUUUCAUAUUAAAACUUAGACCAAAGACUGUAAACAACCAACAAUAGUGUGAGGAUUUCCACAUAUAUGUAAUGAGAAAGAUAGACAAAAGUCAGAAAGCAGAGGUUGUCUCACUAAUGAUCUAAAUUUGUCUAUGAAGAAACUAAGAUAAGUGCAAAAGUACAAAAUUUUCAAUUUGGAAAUGGAAUCCAGUCACAGGAAACCACCAAAGUGUUUACUCUUCAAACCAAAAGUGAGGGACAACUCCUAAUUCCACGAUUCCAUGAAAGAUACUGCCGUGAAGAUUUCAAACCAAAAUAUCAACAAGGAUAUGCACAAAAAAAUUGAAAUUAAAUCUGGUCAAAGAAACAGCAUUGAACUUACAUCGCUGAAUUUCAAACAGUCAUACUUUGGAAGAAUAAUGUCCACGUUGUGGUUUAAAUCUUGAACAGUACGGGACAGACUAGUGACAACAUCACCAAGACCUCCAACCUGCAAGAGAUAUCAGAGAUGACAAAGGACACGGAAAUAAAAAAGACAUGAGUAGGGGUUUCAUGUGCAAAAUAUCCAUACACAGACACAGUUUUAUAUCACUUCUCAGGAUUAACAGCCUAGAACUUCACUCUUAUUUCAAAUCAAUUUAACCGUUUUAUUAUCACUGCACUUCUUAUUCCAGGCAAUUACAAUGUAACUUUCUAAGUCACAAAUGCCUAAGUUAAAUUACACAGAUAGCAGCCGCAACUAAAGAAUGUACAGGAGCUUUUUUGACAGGUCAGUAUAUUAUCAAUAAUUCCUAAGUCCUAAAAAACUGUUCUGUUGAACCAUAAAUUCUCUCUGUGGCCUAAGGUUACCUUAGCAAUGGGAGCCAUUUCAACAGCGAUAUGCACAAUGUGCAUUGGUGGCUCUUUCACAACUCCUCCAAAGACAGGUAUAUGGUAAUCCAUGCCAUUUUUGUUGUCAAAAGUGCCCCCAUCUUCCCACUCAGAGAACACAAAAUCCAUCGUGUAUGCAUCCAGUGGAACCUUGACUGCAAGGAAACAAAAACCCACAUCCUUGAAUCUCAAAAAAUUGCAUAAAUGCCUCAAACCAGUGAGGCCUUUCUGCCUGAAUGACAGAUCUCUUAAUAUAAUAUGAUUUGGCAUCAUGCUGCACCCCCCCAUAAUUUUCUGCCAGAUAGUUGAUUCACUGACCUAGUAAUUUAGCCACUAAAUUAAUGUCCGUCUGAAUGCCAUGCAACCCAACCUAAAAUGUAUCUGCUAGAAGCUGGCCUAAUUUCUUCUGGAUCUAAAAUGCUAUCCCACCCUACAAAUAUCUAAGAGUUCUACAUCCUUGUUCUUAAGAACCAAAAAAACCAGCUAACUGUUAUAACAACCAUUCAUGGACUUUAAAGAAAGGGGAUACGCGUCGCAUGUAUAAAACAAGUUUUAAAGAGUAAUGCAUGCAUCAAGAACUUAAUUUAUUGUCCUGUCCUGAAAUUAUUUAAAAUAAGAAGCAACUGAAAAAUUGAUGACAAAAUCACAAAAUGACAAAAGACUACUUCAGAGAUGUGUGGUGAAAAUUAAAGAAAACCCACUUGUUUAUUCUGACAAGAAAGAAAAACCGAGCCCCCUACAUAGCAAGGAGAUAGCUAGAAGUAAACUCUAAACAGUUCCUAAAUCUUACAGCAAUUUUCAAAAAGGCUUUCGUAAACUGAUCACUCACCAGUGGUUUUAACAUGAGUACUAUAUUCCACAGGAACCAUCUUUUGAGGUGGCAGUAUACCCAUGCGAUGGGUCCAAUGAUUAAAUGAACAUCUGAACCAAAUUUCGGAUUUCCCAUUGAGAACUGUGUUGGCAGGAUUGUAAAACACUGUCACAGUAGUUCCUGCUUGAACGUCAAGAGGAUCGGUAUAAACUAUAUGUUUUUGGGACAACAGAAACCUCUUCAACGUUCUUUCUUUUGUUUCAGCUUUCAUAUGUGCAGUUUUCUCAGCCUGAAACAAGAGAAGAAAUAUCUCAGAGUUGUCACAAGGAGAUGAAGUACUGGAAGGAACCCACCAAAUGCUGCUGUACGGCCAAGGCGGAUGUACGGUACAGCAGGUCGGACUAGAGUCAAGCUCAACAGGGUCUUCUUUCCCCGCUGAUUCUGCCAAGCCCGUUCCCUUGGCUGUGGUUUCGCUGGAUAGUAGACAGGGACAGUGGGAAUCUCGUUAAUCCAUUCAUGCGCGUCACUAAUUAGAUGACGAGGCAUUUGGCUACCUUAAGAGAGUCAUAGUUACUCCCGCCGUUUACCCGCGCUUCUGCUGUACGGCCAAGGCGGAUGUACGGUACAGCAGNNNNNNNNNNNNNNNNNNNNNNNNNNNNNNNNNNNNNNNNNNNNNNNNNNNNNNNUCUGGUUGACUUUAUAAUGACCCAAAUGUUGUCACAGAAAUGCAUCAGAAAAAGUUUUCAUCUUCUAUGUUUGUCGAUGCAGAGUCCAAAUAAUUGACCUUAGCACGAGCAGCUUCCUCUUUUAGUCGCCUCUCCUCUUGGAGUUUCCUGAAUGUCUGGCGCUCUUCCUCAACCCAGUAUAAUUCAUCAGGAAUGCUUUUUGGAACAAUAGCAUGGAAAUCUUGACGACUAUUGUUAUCGUACACAAUAGCUUUCCCAGGUGGCCCAUCAGCAAAGACCCAAUCCAACACAAGGGCUUGAUCAGGUACAGAAACUGCAGAAAAUAUAGCGGCUCAUAUUAUGAUGUAUAAUAAGGAAUACUAGCACCAAAACAAGGCUAUUCAUGAGAGCAAGCAACAAGAAUGAAAAAUCAUCCACAAUCAUAUAGAAGUAUCUAACCCUCCUUCUAAAGUCAAACUUGUUCACAAAAAGACAUAUGAGAUUGUUCCUAAAAAAACACCCCUCUUUCAACAGCUGAUAACCAACAUGAUUUCAAGUCAAUAUAGUCAUCUAGAUUUUCCCAAUGAAUCCAGAUAACUCUGUUAACACUUCCAAGUGCAAGGAGAAAAAAGAAACUGAGAAGUAUAUGUCUACAUAUACCUUUGGCAUACCACCAAUCACCAUCUGUUCUCUCUGAACUGACAAGCCUAGCGACAAUGGACAAUCCAUCUUUCCAAUUAUUAUAACCCCCAUGUAUCCAGAGCUCCUUAGCAUGAGCAAGACUACUGGAUUGUUUAUUAUAAUAUAACCUGACCAAGUCCUCACCUUUAAACUCACUGGGCUCAAUGUACCAAACAUUGUCAACUGACCUUGCAGCCUUUUUUUUAAGCUCUCGCAGCAUCUCUCUUUUCCUUUCAGUUUCCACCCUAGCCUGUGCCCUAUCAGCUUCAAUAGCUGCGUGUUCUGCUUCUAUUCGCCUCCGUUCUUCCUCUUGUCUUUCCUGUUCAGCUUUCUCCUUGGCAAGUUUUUCUUGUUCCCUUCGUUUUUCCUCAAGCAAGAAAUCUUCAAAUGCCAAAGCAUCCAUUAGACCUUCUACAGCAAUGCAGAAAUCUUUCUGAUCAUUAUUUUCAUAGAUAUUUUGCCCAUUGAAGAACACAAAGUCUAUCUUAAAUGCUUCCUUAGGAACAUGAACUUGACAAGACCACCAAUCCCCUUUGAGAUGGGUCUUGUUCAACCUGAAUGUAAAAGAUUUCCAUCGCCAGUCAUUAAAGGCUCCCAUGAUGAGAACGUCUGGUUCAUUUUUCAGAGUGGAUAGACUCCUAUUAAGGAACACUUCUAUAUCUUGAUCAGGUUUCACCACCUGGGGAUAAACAAAGAUUUUUUUUUGUCUGAGAAAAUUCUCAUCAGCAAGCCUCUCAAUUUCCUGUUUACGCAAAUUCUCUUCCACUUCCUUCUUUAAUUUUAGGGAAGCAUCUUCAGAGGCUUUUAUAUCAGCCUUAAUACUUUCAUCCCUCACACUGUCAUUGCUCUUAUUAAGAUUCAAAUGCUUUCUCUUUGAAGUUGACUUUUCUGUCACAUUCUUAAUAUCUGAUUUGGGAGUUGUUUCUUUCUCCUGAAACACAUCAUCAAUUCUACCCACACUUCCAUUUCCCACCACUUGACUGCUUUUAGCACUUAUCAAAUCUUUAUUUGUUCGUGGUAUGUUCUCACUUUCCUGUUCUGUUAUAUCGACAUUUUGUUCCCCAAUUUGAUUAUCCCUAGAAAGUUCAACCGCAGGUUUUUUCUCCACACCAUUUGUAGGUGCAGGCGUCUUCUUGGUGGGCCCUCCAUACUCACCCGAUACUGGUGUGCCUGAACCCUCUUUGUCACCAUUUUUCUUCUGAUCCCUCUUCUGGAUGCCUGUUCCCACAGGUGUUUUCGGUGUAAAUCCCUUAGAACCAGUAUCUUUAGUCCUUGGUGUUGAGACUCCUCUCUGUCUCCUCCUUGAAAAAUCUAUGCAGUAGGCAGAACAAACAAAAUUUUAGAAAUGAAAUGGAAAGUAACAAAUUUGUUAGUCAAAUUCCUAGUAAACUUGCUCAGCUAGGAAUAACCCCACAACUAACCUGAAGCAGCAUAGAUCCUAUGAGAAAAUCCUCUCGUGGAGUAUCCAUUGUGCCAUGUAAUAAACUGAAAGCAUAAGUCUCAAAAUUUAGUAUUCAGCACAGCAUAUAGUGUCAUUUGUUACAGUCGUUCUCAGAAUCGUAAACUUGCACUCAACUCAAUAAAAAUAGUAUAGCAGUAAAUACCCAACUAAAAACAAAAUAGACUUAAUGAACAAACCAGAGGCAUAACAUGUAAGCCAAAAUAAUAUAAUCAGCAACCCAGAAGAGCAAAGCGUGUAUCAGAACAAAAUGAUCAUGUGAUGCUGAUGAUUACAAUGUGAUUUCAAAUAGAAAAUCAAUAAAUAAGCAAAUUCUAUAAAGAAAAAACAGAACUGGAGAAAAGCAAUUAAAAAAAAAAAUCAAGAAAAUCACCGUUCACCAACUUACUUGUGUUGUUUUGACAAAAGCAGAGGAACCCGUUGAAGGUUUGAACUUGAAUAGACUUCUCUCCUGAGACACAGCUCUGCAACUCACUGAACUUUGCAACUGUAAGCCAGCAGCUGCCAUGGUUGGCUUUAAUUAAAGAGUAAAGAGAAGAAUGUUUGCUUGUUGAACUGAAGCUUGAGUUCUUUGGACUCUUUCACCACAGCAGUCAAAUAAUCACUGAUCAAUUCACAAACAUAAAACCCAUCUUCCUCCUCUAUAAUUGUGCACUGAAAAAAAAUAAAAUAAUAAUAAUAAUAUUAGUAACUGGUAAAAAAUAAAAAAAAAAUAAAUAAAAAUACAAACUUGACAAGUUCGAGUGUCACGGCCAGGCUGACGUAAAAAGAGUCUCAAAAUCUCAGCCAUAAGUGUCUAUAAACUUAACCUGUUCGACAUCUUUCCAUAUUGAUAUGAAUCACAUCACAUCAACCGUUUCGUUAUACUUUGAUUCUGAGAUCAACGGUGAACCAAGGUGGAAUAUUUUAAUGAAUGCGGACGCGCAAGUGGGUGAUUAGUGCUUGUGAUAAAUUCAAAUUUUUAAAAUGUUUCUGAGUAGCCAUGGUUUUAAGAGGCUAAUAGUCAAGUAAUGCGUCGACCGGUUGUACAAUCGAAGCCGGAAUUGAUAGUCGAAUAAGAAGGCGCCACGUAACUAGCAUUUUGUGGGAAUGUUCAUGGGAUCGGUUGAGGAAGCGAUAAGUGUUCAUUUUAACCCGUGGCUGUCCGGUUAAUUAUUUAUUAAUAUUUUAUUGUUACUUAGAUCUACCGGUAAAAUCUGAAGUAUCAUCUCAGCGGUAAUAAUAUUUCCUUUUGCCCACAGAUCUAGAAAAAACAAUUAUUCUUCUGUUAGCAGCAUUUGCAACAUGUUUUUUUUUUUCUUAGUAAUAUAAAAUUUUCAAUGGCAAUCAUAUUAAUUAAUAAUUAUAAUAAAGUAGAAGUAGGAAAAAAUAUACACUUUAAUAUCAGGGGGACCUUAGGUGCAACUGUGGCACCGUGCCACAGUUGCAUCUAGUCGUUGGAUGCAGUUGGAGUGGUGGGGUCUAUUGGCAUCCAACGACUAGAUGCAACUGUGGCACGGUGCCACAGUUGCACCUAAGGUCCCCCUGAUAUUAAAGUGUAUAUUUUUUCCUACUUCUACUUUAUUAUUCACAAUCACAUGGCCAAGAAUACCUUAAAUUAAAACGCAUGGUAUGAUUUUAUGAAACAACAUAUAUGAGAUUUUUUAUUUAGAUAACCAUAUAAAGCGAAAAAAAAAGAAGAGAAAAUGACGUUGGCUCUUGGAUUUAUCAUUAUUUUAACUGACUGGGAAAGGAAGAAACAAAAUGUUAAUACAGUAAAAAAAAAAAAAUUAGCAGACAAUAUUUUCUGUAACCACGUUGCAGAAAAUGGAAACAAAAUUACUUUUAGUUUUUGCUCUGAUGCUGUUAUUAAAGUUUAGCUGCUUCAAAAGUGAAAAAGAAAAGAAAAAAAAAAACUUUUUCACUCAUAUCAAUACAUGCGAAUCUGAAUCGUCAUCGUCAUUGGUGUGUUUGAGUUUCUGAGUUCCUCGUAUUCUUCAAAAUCUUUUAAGAUUGAGCUACGUACGCUAUAUUUACCGUUAAGUUUCUUUUUCAAUCCGAGCUAAAAAAAUAAAAAAUUAAAAGUUUCUUUUUCAAUCAACUUCACAAUAACUAGCUGGUUAUUAUCAAAUCCAUCCCUAUAGUUUUCGAACUUAACACGUUAAAUCAUUAAUCUACUUGCCUCGAAUUAGUCACUAAUAUCCAAUUCCAUUUACUCGACAUGCCCUUACUCCUUAUUUAUUUCUUAAUCAUUUUUAGUUUUUUUUUUAAUUUCAUCCUUCUCAUUAUGAGAUAGCAUAUAAAAUUAAUUGUUAUUUAUUUAUUUAUUAUUCUACCCCUCCUUAAAAUUUCAUGAUAUUUCUAAGAAGUUGGGAGUCGAAAUUAAAAGAAAAAAAAUGAAAAGAAUUAGUCUUAUGUAAUUACAACAAGAGUAUUUAUAUUUUUCAUUAUUUCUUGAUCCCAAGAAGUGUCGUGUUUUAUUUUAAAUUUUAAAACAUGACACUUUCAAUUAUUGUUUUAUCCUUAUUUUCAUGAUAAAUUCUAUUAUCUCUUAACAUAAUAGAUGAAAUGAAAAAUUAAAAAUUUAACAAGGAUGUAGUGGUAAAUAUGACAUUUAUCAAGAAUAAAACAUGCAUUCUCUCUCUACUACUACUACUAAUAAUAAUAAUAAUAAUAAUAUUUCUCUUUUUUGCUUUCUCCUUCUCAAUUAUUAUUAUUAUUAUUACUACUACUACUGAAAUAACAAAUUAUUUCAUACACAUAUCUAUAAACGCACGUGUAAAUAAAUUUUAUAGAUUUAAGUCAUUUGCGUUCUUAGAGUAUUUUAAAAGUGAGGCUUACUAAACACAUGUGACUAUUUUCAAAAUUCAUGGCACUUUUAAAAAAAUUAUUAAACUUUUAACCAAUUCUCAUCACAUUUGAUUAUUUUUACAGCACAGUUAACAAACAAUUAUUUUAAGAGUUAUAAUAUAAUAACAUUAACAAACUAACCCUAACUAUAUAACGUUAAAUUUAGGUAAAAGACUUGGAUGGCGGAGACAAACUUGAGACAAGUGGUAACUUAUGGACUAAUUUGCUGCCUUAAAAAGAAUAGGAAUAAGUUUGAUAAUAACCCAUUAAUAAACACGAUUAAUUGCAUUAAUAAAACCCAUAAACAACUUUGCAUUAGCCAAAUGUGGGGGCGUUUACCUUAUUAGAAAUUAACUUGAGACAAACCUUGUCUAUUCAGCAACUGCCACCCCACUUUUUUAAACAAAAACAAGUCACAAUAUUUCUAUUUCUCAUAUACACUCACAAUAAAAUUAAUCUAGUGGUACGAAGCAGGUGGUAACAAAGAGGAAGAAGAGGUUUAUAUAGGUAAUUGAAACCAGGGGCACUUGCAUGCAUCGACUUAGAAACAACAAGAUCACUGCAAAGUCGGGCGACAAUGACUUGUUCGUAUGGCCACAUAAUUCUUCGGCUUGCGGAGACAAAGAGACAAAGGUAUAAUAUUGUGCCGAUCCAAAUAUCCCACGCUUUUUGGUCUGAGAAUCAACAAAAGUCAUCAAUGUUCACUAACUAAGAAAUUCGUGGCUAUUACGCCUGUGUUUUCUCUCAUCGAACUUGACCCUUGUGUGUGGUCAGAAUCAGAUGAUUGCCAUCCUUCUACUGAAGCUUUUUUAUUUAUUUAUUUCAAUUUGCUAAUUUGCUAUUAUAUCUCCCUUUUUCCUGUGAAUUUUCUGGUUUGUGUUACAUGUUAAGCAUGCGCAUGCAAUUGCAUCGUUUGCGUUUCAUUUUGAUUUUGCGAAAACGAUGACUUGGUUUGCACAUCUUCAUUAACGUGAAGGAUUAGGAUCCUUCUGAACGACACCAAGUGUUAUUUGAUUCUGUAACCAGAAAGAAUAAAUUAAUUUUGCAUAAAUGACUUCAUGUUUAGAAUUCUAAAUUUGAUAUACUCACAUACGUCAAUACCAUCGACAUUCUCAAUUUCUUUUAGGUAUCAUAUGGAUAUGCAAGCCGUAUCACGCUUGCAGACUUACUGCUAACCAAUUAGGGUUGCGGACAACUCUCAUAAUGCGUAACACUAGGCAUAAUCUACUCGAGUAAUCAAUGAACUUCGAUUUGUUUCAACCUUCUCUAUGAUUCAAAUGGGUCUAAGUUUGAACGAAGCAGAAGACAUUUCCUGCUAAUAACAUUGUUCAGAUUCAAUUGGUAAACACACCCCAUAUAUAUAUGGCAAGAACAAUUUCAGACUAGAAUCUUUUAGAGUGAAUCAAGUGUAAUAUAAACAAGAAUUACCUGUGAUUUACUUACGGUAACAAUGACAAAAUCCAAGAGCUGACCAAGGGAGCCUAGAAUUACAUAUCCAUCCAAAUUAUACAAGUAGUUUACAAGUGAACUAGCCGGGGUGAAAACAUGUAGAACAUACAAAUAUAAGUAGAAAGCUCUUCUGUUGCAAGAUAUAGUGCCAGUUUCUCAUUUGUGGACAAAGUUUAUUAGCUGAGAAUUACAGUGAAAAAGUGUAAAUUCUGAAUAAACUCCUGGUAAACCAAGCAUAUUUGAAUCAAUAAGGGAAACAGUCGUAAAAUUGCCUACAAAGAUGGACAAUUGAGUAAGAUGUGAGAAGCCCCGCAUAAUUCUUUACACUAAAGCAUCGGCACCAGCAACAAUCUCCAAAAUCUCUCCAGUAAUUUUGGCCUGGCGCUGCCUGUUGUAGACGAUAGACAAGUUCUUCUUCAACUCCAUUGCAUUAUCAGUUGCAUUGCUCAUGGCACUCAUUCUUGAAGCAAGCUCGCUGGCUAAGGAUUCCUGCAAAGCCCUCAAGAUCUGGCUGUUUAGAUAGAGGGGCAAAAGAGCAUCAAGAAUCUGAACUGGGUCCUGCUCAAAUUGCAAAAUGGGUGAGAAAGAAGCAGUCUCAGUUCUCACAACAUCUCUCUCAACAGUUAACUUUCCUUCCUUAGUUGUCAAUCUGAAGAACUCAUCCUCAGCAGCAUCGACGCAAACACCAUUCACAUCACAAAUCUCUCCCCUUGGUGAUAGUGGAAGCAAAGUGUGAAUCACAGGAUCAGACUUAACCAAAGACACAAACUUUGUGUAUAAAAGCUCCACCUUGUCAACUUCUUCACUAACAAAGAGUGAAAACACAUCAUCUGCUAUAGUCUGAGCUUCUUUAGCAGUAGGUAAUGAACCUCCCUCAAGAAAUCUAUCAACAGGAAUAUAAGGCCUACGAAGGAAAUAUGCAUUACCCUUCUUACCAACACUAAUAAUAGUGUAAUCAAGUCCAAGAGUCUUCAAUUCUGCAAUUCUCGCUUCAGCUUUCUUAAUAAUAUUGUUGUUGAAACCACCACAAAGACCACGAUCACCAGUGACAACAACCAAAGCAACUUUCUUGACAGGUCUAACUUUGAUCAAAGGAACAUCUAUGUCUUCAUUUUGAAGCUGCUCAUUGAUGUUGUAAAGAACCUCAACAAGAGUUUCAGAGAAAGGCCUGCCAUUGACAACAGCUUCCUGAGCUCUUCUGACUUUAGCAGCGGCCACAAGCUUCAUGGCCUCGGUGAUCUUCUGUGUGUUCUUUACAGAAUCAAUACGUUCUCUGAGCUCGCGGAGACCACAAUGAAUUGGUGUAACUGAUGAAGAUCUAGAAGGGUUGUUGGGGGUUGCAUUGUGAGGAGGCCUAAAUGGGUUGAGAAAUGAGCCAAAAGAGAGCGAAGAAGUGUCACGACACACAGGUAGGUUUGAGCAAGACAUGGUGAUAACUGAUAACGGAUUGUUGGAGCUCAAGGUGAGAGUCUAAGCACUCAAAGAGAAGGGAAAGAGAGAGUCUGCUUUGUGGGCUUGGUUUGUUUUAGGUGUUUGUUUCAUGAAGUCUUAUCUUUUUUUCAUGUAUGCUUCUUCUGGCUUGGAGGAAAUGAGAGGGAACGAGUGGAGGGAGAUGGAGGAAGUGGAUCAGGUUUUUAGAUAAGGAUUUUGACCGUUGGAGAUUGCAUGGGACAUGAAUUUGAUUCAAUUCAUUUUUAUUUUUAUUGAUAUAUUUUCUGUUUUUCUCAUUGCAAAUGGCAAUGGUUGCUAUAUCAAUCCUUCCCUUAAUGGAAAAUGAAGAAAAAUGAGGGUGAAUUUGACACCGACACAAUUAUUCGUGGGAUUGUCAAUUCCAACAUUAGUAAACAGACAGGAGCACCUUGCAGGAUAUCUGUCCACUCCAAAAUUAAGAACUAUGUAUGGAUCAUAUGGGCGCAGCAACCAUGCAGUCAUAAAGUUAUACUCUCAGGCACAGAAAAAAGAGGGGAAAAGGGUUUUUUUUUUUUUUUUAAAAAAAAAAGAGAUGAGCAAUAUAAAAAUCUGAGUUUAAAGAUCUCUAUUCAUUUAAUUAAAUGCAAUUGAAAACAAAAUAAAUGGCAAUAUUAAUUUUUUCCUUUCCCACGAAUUAGAUACAUCCCAAAACAUUUGAAAAGCAAAUCCAGUUAAACUUGAUCCUCAGCACUUUUUUCUCCAAGAAGAGGGCUAAUUAUGGCAUUGUAUGUUUGAUUAUCAGGACUUACUCCACUGAGCACCAUGUCGUCGUGCAAUUCAAUCACUUCCUCUGGACUGCAAUUCUUACUAAACCUGGUAACAAGAGUAGUGUAUGUUACAUAAUCCGGAAUAAUGCCAUGCAGAAUCAUCACCUUCAUAAGCUCUCUUGCUUGUUGAUAACACCCAAAUUUACAUAAAAAGUUUAUCAAUAUAUUGUAGCCAACUUUGUUAACUGCAAUCCCCACAUUUCUCAUUUCAGAAAACAUAGCAAAUGCCUCGGCGAUCUUCCCAUUGAUGAAAUAUCCAUUUAUCAAGGUGUUAUAGGUUAUGGCAUCAAGUAAACCUAUCCGCUGCGACGCUUGUAACAAAGAUUUUGCAGCAUCUAGAGAUGCAUCCUUGCAUAAGCCAUUUAUAAUGGAAUUGUAUAUUACCAAGUUGGGUUUUUUCUCCACCUUUUUCAUAUUUUCAUAAACCUGAACUGCACCUUCUAUAUUGCCUCCCUUACAGUACCCAUCAAUCAAAGUACCAUAAGUAAUAAUGUCAGGAAUCAAACCACGAACAAUCAUACUGCUUAAUAGCUGCUUUGCUGCUGCUAAAUUAUUACUUUUGCAGAGAUAAUUGAUAAGGAUAUUGUAUGAAUACGCAUCUCCUACCAUGUGUUCCUCUAGAACUUGGUUAUGUAAUUUGAAAGCUUGCUUCACACAUCCAUUUCUACAAAGCCCCUUUGUGAGAAUAGAGUAAGUGAAGUGAUCAGGGCAUAUAUGCUUAUCAAUCAUGUCAGAUAAUACAAACAAAGCUCCCUCCACAUCUCCUUCUGCAAAAAGCCAAUGAAUGGUUGAAUUGUAAACCACAUUAUUAGGCAUCAAGCCCCUCUUCACCAUUUCAUCACACAACCUCAGUGCCUCCUCUGAGCUCCCUCCUCUUGCAUACCCGUCUAUCAAAGUUGCAUAGGUCCUUACAUUACAGUCAAUUCCAGCCUUAAUCAUGGCAUAACGGAUUUCUUCAGCAAAUUCUACUCUUCCUAAUUUGCAAAAGCCAUUAAUGAUACAAUUGUGUGUCACUGAAUUGGGCAAAACACUAUCUCCUGACAUUACUCCCAUCUUCCGAAAAAGCUUCAAGGCAAAUUCCAGGUCACCAACCUGGCAAGCUUCAUUAAUUAUCAUAUUGAAACAAACAACAUUUGGCCAGAUGCCACUCUUCAACAUCCUAUAAUACAAUGAUAAUGCUUCUUCUAGUUUACAUUCUUUACAAAGUGCAUAAAUAACUAAGUUAAAAGUAUUGACAUUCUCAACAUAUCCACAAGACACCAUUUCCUUAUACAGUUUCCAGAACCUACCAAUCUCAUUUAACUUCACAAGAUGACUCAAAAAAUUAUUCCAAGCAUGAAUCGAAACUGAAUGCCCCUUCACUUUCAACUUUUGAAUCACAUCAUAAGCACCUUCAGUGGCUCCAAUUUGAGUACAAGCCCUAACCAAGGCAUCGAACACGGCUGGAGUAGCCUUGCAUAUUUCAUAACUAUCAAGCAAACCUUCCAGAAAUUCCAAUGGGGACACACUAUUUGCACUCAUUAAAUUCCCCAUUAACAACAAUGCAUCAUCGAAUCUCCUCCAAUUGACUAACAAAUGAACUAUAGCACAAGAAGAUUCUAAUGAGUGUGAAAAGCGGUUGUUCUCUCCAACCCAAGUGUAAAAUUCCAAAGCUAACUUGGGUGACUUUCGGAACUCGGAAACAACACGAUUUACCAAUGAAUUUGUGAGACUUGGAGCCAUUUGCUCCAAAAUUUUCCAUUUCCUUUGCCUUAAAUUUACACAAAUUGCUCUGAAAACAAUAUCUUCGGUACUCGGGUUAGCAAAUUGCUUACCCACGUGAAACGCUCGGCUUAAAGGACUGUUACUUUUGUACAAACAAUUACAAAAGGCUGAAAACAUAGAAUGCUCAAAACCCAAUUCAUAAAUGAAACAGUCUCUGCAAUGAAGAAGCAAAAGAGAGCAAACCUGGUUCAGUAUAAGUUUCUAAUAAUGGGAAAGUGGAAUAAACAGGCCUGAAUAUACAAAAAUCACAAUUGCACAGAGCAAUAAACCCUAGUGGCUCUCAUGCAAAAGAACACUAAAGUAAUAGUUAGGAGCGAAGAGAGAAAUAAAAAUCAGAAAUUUAACUAAACAAAGAAACGGAGAGACUGAAACAGGCUACCUUCGAAGCCUCUUUCUUGCAACGAGAAGAGAGAAAAAGAGUAGCGGCUUAACUGAUUAUGGGGGGAAGACAGGAAACUGGUUUCAAUUUUCGCACAAACUGUUGCCAGAAACUAACUAAACUCCUUGCCACUUCGAAAUCCACCUUCAUGUUAGCGUGAGACGCCCCACGCCAAGACCCAAUCAACUUCAACGGGUUUAGGGUUGUCUGGGUUUGGAUCCAAGAGGUUUGAACGGACACUUCGUUCAGUGGGCCAUACGAAAAGCCCCUUCGAAUAGACAACGACAACGAUCACGCUCUUUUGAAUUUAUUUUCUAAAAUAUCUUUUGAUAAAAUAUAAAUGGGAUAUAAAUUCAUAUUUAUUAAAAUUAACCAUCUUUCUAUAGAAUUUUACUCAAAAAAAAUACUUCAUGUUAAAUUAUAUACAAAUCCUAAAAUAUUAAAUUUAUUUUAAAUUUUUUCUUUUUAUAAUAUUUCUAUCUCAUAACUCUAAAUUUUUCUUUAAAAAAUUCAAUUAAAAUUGAAAACAUAAAUAUAAAUUAUAAAAUAUGUGGGUAUAAAAAAUUUGUUUAAAGAAUAAUUUAUUUAAGUAUUAAAAUGAAUCACCAUUCGGAACAAUAAAUGAAUUAAUUUGUAUAACGUUAUUUAAGUAGUUGCAAUUAAAAAGGAGUUUUAAGAGAGAUUUUUGAGGAGUGUCAAAAAGUUUAUUUUAUUUUGUAGUAUGCCAGAAUGCAUAUUUUUCUUACUUUUUUAACU
rnacentral:lncRNA from 1 species